GCAUACCUUCAUUGAGCUGCCAAAGUCAAGCGUUGUGGGGUGAUGGAGUUUAGUUUGCUGCAAUUCAAGUUGAGUUUUCACACGUUUAACCUUUGUUAUAUGAGAAAGAGAGGUUUCAAUUUUUUGAUCUUAAUUUGUUUCUUCAGCGCUUUCAUCAAAAUUGGUGUUAACGUGGACUAUAUUCAGUUUGUCCUGUAAGGUCUGGACAUAAUUGUCAUUAUCUCAAAUCCGGUUUGAUAUAAUCAACAUCCAUUUUCUAGUUGAGGUCCAGUUUACACAGUGUUUUAGUCACAAACUUUGGAUGAGAGUUGCAACUAUCAUAUGCAAGGCGGAUGCUCCAGCUUGAGGGGAAUUGUUGAAAUACAUUUAUAAUGUUAGGCUAUUAGCUAGUAGUUAGUAGGUGGUCAUAUAUAAGGAAAUUAAGGUUUUGCUAGUGUCUCUAUUGAUCUAUAAAUAGAGCCAUCUAUUUACUUUGUUAUUUAGUAAUUGAGUAAAGGUGUAGUCUUUAUUUAUAUUCUCCUUUUACUCUCUAUUGAAGAUUGUAGAAUAUAUACACUUGUAACAGGGUUCUUUUUGUCACAACAUGAGUUAUACUACAUCCUUUAAUGGCUUUGGUACAAUAGGAAGUGAAUCAGAAUUCUUCUAGUCUGUGUAUGUCUGCAUCAGUAUUUUCAAUAGGCCUCAGAAUACUUCUUAGUAAAUCCAGCAGUUUGCAAAUUGGACCAGAGCAGAACUUGACUUUUCAAUUACGUAGAAGCGUUUGACCACUUGUAAUCUACUGAAUUAUUUAUUUAUCAACAUUGUUGUCUUUUGUUUUGCAAAACAUAAGAAUUUUAUUUUCUUGCACUAGAUUUACCUCACGUGUGCUCUGCAUCCCUGUAGGAGAAAUCUUGAGCACGCUGGAGAGGAGGAAUCUCUUAUGAUGGAAGGUGAAAUUGGUGGUGGACUGGCUAUUCAACGACUCAUAUCUAUCAGAAAGGACAACCCUAAGGUGUUUCAAAUUGACUCUAGCCUUGUAGCCAGGAAAGUUGGUGCUGGUUCUGGUGGAUUUUCAAGGUCAGCCCAAACACAGUCUUGGAGAAAGUUACACAACUACAAAGGACUUCUGAUAACAGGCCUUUACGAAAUGAGCAAUUAUGUUAAUGCUAAGAAAAUGUUAUGAAAAACUCAUUGCUCGUCACUAUUGAGAGUACAUGCUUAAAGUUGAGCCUGCAUUUUUCUUACAGUGAAUAAAUAUAAUCAGAAAAUUAAAUGGAGAUAUCAUUAGAGGACUGCAUUUUAUGCUUUUUGUUUUUUGUCGUCAUAUAUUCACCCCAUAUUCACCCUUUUGCACCCUAAACUUUCAGAUUGGUGAUGAUCACCUAUAAUGGUUGUUUAUAUUCUGCUGUAGGUUGGUCUGCUUGAGAGUACACCCCACAUUCGCCCUGUUGCACCCUACAGAAUCUUUUAUCUCAUUUACAGCUGUCGAUGGUUCUAAGCAUGAACUUUGGCCCGAUUCUGGCGAGCAGACUUUUGAAGGGAAUCUUCUACCUAAGGGUAAUCGUUUUUUCUUACCUUUUCUUUUGGUUCUGCAUUUUGUUAUCUUCUGCAAAGGCCUGGGUAACUGGAGAGCUAUACUCCAUAAUAAACCAAGAUCCGGUUGCAUCACUCCACUUUUUGGAAUUCUUACACUGGGUUGUCAAAAACUGGCACGGGAUUACAAAUACCUUAGUAAACCAAGAUCCAAGUGCAUUGUUCAAGAUUUUGGUACUUCUACUGUCUUGGAUCACCAAAAGUUGGUUUGCAUCGACUUUUUAAUGCUGGUAUUAGUUUAACAGAAAUAUUCCAGAAACCAUUGAUGCUUUAAGUGAUUAACAAGAAAUAAAAGAGCUGAGGUAACAAAAUUGAGCUAAGUAUACUCCUCUCUUCAAGUACUACCAGCCCAGCCUCCAACCAAGCUGAGUCCACUUCUCCAAAUGUCUUACUACUCAUACCAUCUGUUCCACACAGCUUCAGCAUCGGUCGCUUCUAUAGUAAACCCUUGUACAGAACCAGCUGCUCCUAUAAAACGGAACAGUGGUCUCCUAUCAAUGCCCCCAUAUAGUUAAGCCUCUCCCUCUCAUAUAAAUUUGUAAACACACUCCGCAGCUCUUACUAGGGAUGAGAUGAUACAAAGACAGUUCAAAAUACACUUGAGGUCUUUCAAAGUUCAGCACAAGUGGAAGUAUGAGAAUCAAGGUGUAGGCUCUUCAUAUCGGUAGUAUUCUCGUUAUAGCCUAUUCUCGUCUCCUGCUUCGAAUUCCAGUCCUCAAUUCUCGUUGACCCAAAUGCCAGAGGUCCCUUAGCCAGCCAUCAUUGUCUUCCUUCUCCAUCCUUGUGUAUAUCUUCAUAUGGCCUUGCAUUAAUCAAUGUCAAUUGAUAGGUCCAUGAGAUUUCCUUCCAUGAAAGCACCUAUCAGCUUUGAUUCCUCUAUAUCCGAUUUCAUUCAAUUAGCUACUGCAUAUCUGGACGUUCCAUUUCAUCAAUAGGUUGAGUAUGGCGAUGUUCUUCACUUUCUUCAGAUGCUUAUACCUACAUAUGCUUAAAAUCUUCAUCAAGUGGAUCUCCAAUCACCAUAGAUAAUUUCUGUACAUCUUUUGAGAGAUCCAUACAUCUGCUUUGGCAUAAAUUCUAAUUUUCUCACUCUUUUCCAUGAUAAAUGAAUAUCUAGUUUUAGGUUGGGUUAAAUUAUAUCUGAUUGAGUAUAAUUUCAUCAAUCAAGUUCAAGUGUCAGAUCUUCAGAUUGAAUCAUUCAAAACUCAAUUCGAAUUUUGAAGUUGCAGGUUUGUUAAGCACAUUUUGCUCCUGGGAUAGAAUGUCCUACUUCUGUUGUUGGCAAACUUCCUUCCACUGUUUACAACACUUCUUGCUCUGUAACCCUUCCAGCUUCUAUUUUCCUGUCCUCUGUGGAAUAUUUUCUUCUUUGACUACCUAACUUAGGUGUCGUUAACUAUAGCAUCCACUCAAAUGAACUUGAUUAACCCAAAUUUAGUUUGUUGUCAUUAACGUAUUUUUCUCCUAGUGUUCGAAAAAUUCCUUUAAGGAUGAUGACCUUUUGGAUAGAACAACCAUUAAUUGGUCAUCGAACCAGCACCCAGUCGUUUUUGACGUUUUUCUUUUUUCCCUAACAAAUGAGGAUGUUCUUUAUCUUGGUGCCUGACGGUCUUUUUUUUUUUUUUUAGGUGAAUGGUCGCUCUGGGACAAAUGCCUUGGUGUGGGACUAGUCAAUCGGUUCAAUGUCAGUGAGGUCGUCAAGUGUUUGAUCCACUGGGGAACCGAAACAGUUAAUCUGGAACUGUGGUCGGAAGAGCGGCCCGUUUCCAAAGAGUCCCCUUUGAAGGUGUCCCAUGAAUAUGAGGUUGUAAGAAUGUCCUGAAUUUUCCAUAUUCCACUGUGACGCUAAGAAAACUGAGAAGUCUGAAUAAAUAUUUGAGCUUGCUCUGGUUGUCGUUUCGCAUGUCUAGAAAAUCAUGUCGUCGCAGUGUUUUGACUGAACAACAGGAGCAUUAUCGCGAAGGAGAAAGUGAAUUAAUGUGCGCUAUGCUAAGGCUCCGUCUAUCGCCUGUCUGUGGUCAUUUUCACUGAAUUCCAAUCACAGGCUUGUCACAAUUGCACAAAUCUUGCUUUUCAUCUAUGACCAUUGGAUGGCCAAGUCUUGUUACCAUCUCUGUUUAUGCUUCCAAAAGUUUGCAUCUUUUCGAGCAACAUGUCAACUACAAAUUCAGUGGAAAAUCAGCAGAAUCAUCACAAUUAGCCUAAAAAAAAGGAGAAUAUGCAUCUUUGUUAACAUGUGUCGCUAAGCUUCACCAAAAUAUACAUAAAUCAGUUCAACAAAUUUUAUCAUCAGCGAAUCUACUCAUUUCUGGUUUAGCCAAUCUAAGCACUCAAUCAGCUUUUGCCGUUGGUUAUACUUUCAGUCGCCUAGCGAAGUUCCAGGGUCUUCACGGGCCCAUCUUCAAAAUGUCGGGUCGAUUCCUUCCAAUAAAUGAGCUUCUAUCGAAGCAGCUAAUAUGCUGCUUUGUCGCAGGUGAUCUCGACAAAAAUCAAAUGUGAUCUAUUUUUUAAAAUUUAUUGUAGUAUAAGCACCAUAGCAAUUUUGUCUCAUAACUUUUAAGUUGUUCAAUAUAGUUUAUGAACUUUAGCUUAAUAUGCAAUGUUGCCCCUGAACUUUUAAUUUGUCUAAUGUGGUAUUUCAAUCUAUAGGAUAUGUUCAAUCUAGUCCAUGAAUUAUAUUAAAAUAUCCAAUAUUAUCUUUUUCAUUAAUUCAAGGUUAUGGUCAAUGUUGAAAAUUUUAAAUAUAAUUCAGUGACUAGAUUGAAUAUGCACAAAAAGUUCAAAUUAAAAGUAUAUGGAAAAUAUUACACAUGAAGAUAAAGUUCAAGAUAGUAUUGAACAAAUUGAAACUUUAGGAAUGACAUUGAACAAUAUGCUAAAGUUCACGAAUUAUUUGUAUAUUUUCCCUAUGACCUUCAUGCAAAACAAUAGUGGGGCCCGAUACUUAUACUCUUACACUAAGAUUGAUCAUAUAUCCUUGUGAUUUUUCAACAUCUCUCAAUCAUGGGAGAUGUCUUGAAAUUGAGGUAGUUGCCUAUUGUUCAUGGGAACUGCCACCACCAUAUUGAAUCAUUGCCAUCCCUAUAACCAUCUUGCUGUUUCGCAUAGUACUUGCUUCAAUUUAAUUGAAUCUAUCCUUCCGUUUGAAGGAACUAACAUAAAUUUACAUUUUGCUGUAAAGAUGUUGCUAGAUUUUGUAAUUUCUAAACCCAUCCUAGUUGACACGAUAGUAGUCAGUCAGUGACUGCUAUUCUCCAAUUCUCAAAUUCUAAAAGGUUUGACUCUAAAAUUGGCCAUGCCUAAGAAUAGCACCCUGUAUUGCACUUACCAUUUGGGCUACCUUGGAGUUGCAGGAGAGAAGACAUGGCUUGAACAUUUUAUCAUUCGCUUCAAGCAGAAAGCUUCUCCCCAGACGAACUCCAAUUCUUCGAUCAACCGCAAACCAGUCCCUUUUCUAUCUCAUAAAUCUGCCAUUUGGAAAGUACCAUCGUGAAUUAGAACGGAUGAUCUUGGUCAAACAUGAGUUCUUUAUUCAUCAACAGCAAGAUGGGGUUAUUUCACAAGGGGGAAAAGGAAUCGAAGUACAAUUACCAUGAGGUUCACGACGAUGAACUCCUGUAGCCAGAAUCAUUUUGAUGAACACAAUAGUGGAUUCUAAACACUGUAAUGAGUACCGAAAUUAUUUAAUAGUAAAAGACAUAGUCCUCGAGCAUAUAACGAACUUUUGAUCCUUCACAGCACUUUAGUGAUCUGGAAUAUUUCAGUGAUACCCUAGUAGAGCAGGAGCUUCCUUCAGCUCACGUCCCUGAUAAUGUAUGUCCUGAAACAAUUCAUCCAUUUCAACCAGUCAAGAUCAGAUUGAGUAUACAGUCCGAUUGAUAAAUCGCACAAGUGCUAUAAAAAUUUGAGAGGUGCUGUGAAUGAGAUCAUUACCGAUGCAAAGUGGUUCACAUCCCGGUGAUGUGCCUCAUCAGCUCUCACCACGAGCACGACAUCCCUCAGAGUGGAUCCUUCGGGGAGCUGCCAAUAGUCAGAUGGCGAUGGCCGGAGCCGGGACAUUCUCGAUAUUUCCAUUGCCCAACUCCUUCAGGAACUCGGUGUAGGAGUGUAUGGCCUCUUCUUCAAGGUAGCCAACCACCCGGUGGGCAAAUUUGGGAGAGAUCAGAUAGCCCAGGAAGUAGGCGUUGAAGAAGACGCCCUGGACUGCAAACACGAGGGCGCGCUCGUACCAUCUUGGCUGCGAAACCUCCAUGAAGGUCAUGAGGUGCAUGCGUUCAUUCUCAGCUUCUUCUAGCAAGGCUUUGAUCCAACCACCACUGUGCUCGAACUGCUUCAGCGAUUUGCAGUGCAGAAGCAAUCCUCCGACCAUGCCGGGCACCGCUGCCACGGUCUCCAGCAUCAUCGCUCUGCAGCCAUAUCUUCUCUAUUCACAAGAAAUAAAUGUUCAUGUCAAAACUCUUGGGAGCGAAUCGCGCGUUUAGCCUCUUACGCCCUUACUGUUGGAGAAAACUUCCUUGAGUGUUUUGAAGUUGACAAAACGUUUCCAUCAGUCUAGUCUGAAGACUUGCAGACUCUUCCAUUAAAGUCUGAAGACCUCCGGACUGCCAGACUCAAGACUCAAAGUCUAUCCUCAUUGAUAAUUUCUAGACCGUCGAAGAAGACUUAUCCAGAACUGGAUGUUUCGUCAAGGAUUUGACUUUAUUGACUAGAGUAGAUCUUCUGGCUGGAUAUAGCAUGACAGAAUCCUUUAUUCUGAUCAAGACUGAUUUGGGAAUCGUGGAUUUGUUGAUUGGCGAAGUAUAUUUGGAAGGUUCUACUUAUGGAAACCAAGAUCCUGAUUAUAUGGGCGAACAUGAUUGAUGGGCUAUCGUCAUGUUCCUUAAAUAGCUCGAAGAUUUUCCUAAUUGAUUCUGUCCAAUGGGUAGAUUGCAAGAACUCCUUUGGUAAGUGCCAACGGGUAUGAUGGCAUAAAUGAGUAUAUAAGGAAGAUGUUCCAGUUGUUCAAGUGUGUGCGCGAUAGAAGAAUUCCAAAGUCUAAAGCUCCUUGUUCUUAGUCAAUUAAACCGCUGAGCGAAAUCUUGUACGCAAAAGAGAGUCUAUAUCAUUGAGAGACCUUGAGGAAGUGUAGUAGAGUCUCUACACUGUGGAAUCAAGGAAGAGCCUAACUGUAACAACUCUUUUGUUCAUAGUGAAAUCUAGCUAGUGGGCUGUCAAUGCGGAAGAGUGGACGUAUGCUUAGAUUAAGCCGAAUCACUAUAAUCUCUGUGCUCAUAUUCUCUUAUCUACACUCUUUUAUUUUGAUCGUAAUUCGUUUUGAGAAUUUCCUUUUCAUAAUUUAUUGUUGAUUAGCACUGCACAUAUCUCGCAAAAUUGUUUAUGCACCUAUUCACCUCCCUCUAAGUGCUUAUACUAGCUCUCACACUAACAUAUCAAAGAUAAAAUUUAACAUAAAAAAAAGGUCUAGCUCCCAUGAUGGACAGUGGUUGGAAAGAAGACAAUUUACCCCUAAUUACCAAUUAGACGCAUAAACUCGUAUUUUAAAUUCAUAAAUAAGAUGAAAAAAGAAAAGAAAUUACUUUGAUAUUUAAUUUAAAAAAAAUUCCAACAUCAGCUUCACAUGAUUUUAUAAAAAUUCGAGGUGUUCUAUUAAAAUAAAAAUUAAAUCUUUAAAUUCAGAACCAAAUAUAAAAACCCCCCUCAUAAAACAAAGAGAAAAAAAAAUGGAAAAGAAAAGGCCGAAGGCACAGUCAGCAAUUUCAAACGCAAUCUAAAACUUUUUGUCUAUGAAAUCUUCGUCCAUUUCAAAGAGCGAGAUCACCCUGGCUCAUUCUGUCUCUACAGGUACAACUCCAUAUCAAACAUCGACUAGUCCAUGCACGAUGGAACACUAACCAAGAUCAUGUGCGUUCUAAGUUAUAUGUUCUAAUAGAUCUUGACAUGCCGAGGGCUAGCGUACGUGUAGAUCGGCUAACGAUCCAACUAUCCGAUCUUUAGGAUUAGAUGGAGAACUAGGCGUUGAACCGCCAGAUGUGCGGAACUUGCCGGAUCAUAAACUGAAGAUGAGGACGUACCUAGAAGAAUAUGUCCGUGGGGUAUCUCAAGGACUUGACCGUCCAGAAGGCCAACUUGUCCAAGAACGUCAUGUCACGCCCCGAACCUCGAGCGCGCCAACAUCCCAUCAUGGUCAUGCAAAUGCGACAUUCCCAGGUAGUAUCGCUGACCCCAUUCAUUUAUUAUUGCGCAAGUGGAACGUAUUAUAAAACCCUUGAAAAUAAAAUACGGGAUAGAAAAGCAGGAAGCAAAACCACAACAUAACACUUUUAUAAUUCAACAGAAUUACAAACAGAGGUCUAUGGCCAAAAGUCUACAAAAGACUGGCUCUUAAAAAGGAAUUGUCCUACGACAUACAAGUCGGACACGCUCUCCAAUCUUUAUGACUUCACCUCUGCAAUUCCUCAAGGCCAACUGAAGUUCUGCCUGCUCCGUCCACCAGGAACCUGAAAUUGUAAUCCCUCAAUCGGGAUAAAACAAUGUCUCAGCAAGUUCAACCCCCUAAACCCCUAUUAGACAGUAAAUACGCCCUAGAUUGGCCUAGCCACAACAUCAAGAAGACUUACCUCGCAUUAGUCCUCAUUUGUAGGUUAGCACAUUUUAUAUAAUUCAACCACAUGCAAUUAUGAUAACUAAACAACUAUGGCACAAUCACAUUAUUAGAACAAUUCAACCACUUGGAUCGUCUCAGCGAUCAAUCGACUCGACCGAUUACAUGUCAUUCUAGCGAAUCAAUCGUUGCUUCCAAUCACGACCCUAUAGGAAGGUUUAACAACCAGUGGCAAUCAUGGCCCCAUUCGGCACGACCUUUAAUUAGGUGGUAGAUCUUGGUCCGAUGGGCACGACCUCUAAUAGGUGGUCAAUCACGGCCCCACUAGGCAUAACCUUUAAUAGGUGGUCAAUCACGGCCCUAUUGGGCACGACCUCUAAUAGGUGGUCAAUCAUGGCCCUAUUGGGCACAACUUUUACCAGGUGGUCAAUCACGGCCCUACUGGGCACAACCUCUAAUAGGUGGUCAAUCACGGCCCCACUGACACGACCUCUAAUAGGUGGUCAAUCACAGCCCCACUGGGCACAACCUUUAAUAGGUAGUUAAAUACGGUCGUUCUUCCAUCAAAUUUUGACACUUUGGAUUUUAUAAAAAGAAUCCCUAUUUAUCACAAUCACACUCCAUUUGCAACAAUCAAUCAUCAAAUUCAAAUCCUAAAUACACAGCAGCGAUCGGCACGAAAUUCUGAGCAAUCGGGGUUAAAAAUAAAUUUUCAGUUUUUUUUAUAUAAAUAAUAUUAUGUUAAUAAUUUCGUAAUAUAAUAUAUUAUUAAAAAUUCCAGAAUUUCGAAACAUUUAAGUAAAUAAAAAAUAAAACCCUAUUAUGUCCCAUUAAUGUUUAUUAUUAAAUAAACUCUCUUAGCCUUUAAUUAAACAUGCUUUAAAUUAAACAAACAUCUUAAUCUAAAUCACAAUUAAAUAAACUAAACUAAUCACCUAAGCUUACUUAACUUAGACUAAGCACACUUAGGGCAUCAUUAACCGUCUAAUCAAGAUUUAGUGAACUAAACUCACCCGAUUAACAAACCGAGCAGACCAAAACGACGGGGACGCUGAGGGGAACAACUUUUCUCAAAGCGGGCCAAGCAUCCGGGGUCGGGAAGACGGCCAAAAUGGGUCAAACGCCCGCUGCCAUACCCAUUUUUCUGCUCACCGAUGGCUGCUAGUUGGGGGUGGAUCCGGCGCCGGUUGAGGCGAGCAAGGGUCGAGAGGGGCUGAGGGAGUCCUGGCGGGCUGAGGCGGGGGUGCACGGCAGCUCACGGCGGUGGAGACGAGCUCCGACGGCUCUUGGAACACACGAAGCGAGGUUGAGACGCAGCUGGGUGUCGGCCAAGCGCGGGCGAGCGCGGGUAGCGGCGAAACGCGAGAAGGCGAGCGGCGAUGGGUAGUCGCGUGCGGCUGCUCUGAUGGUGCUGCUGGCUGCUCCGACGUCUUCUUAGGUCUGCUAGGACGUCGAGCAGCAGCUGGAGAUGGAGGAGAGAGGGAGGCGGUGGCGCAGGUCGUGGCGUGAGCGGAUGGCGAGCAGCUUGGUGGCGCAAACGGCGGCUUGAGGUGGUGAUGGUUGCUCCGGGCAACUUGUUGGCGACGUGCAGCUCUUCUCUGGUUCACUGGUCUACUGGGCUUUCGAAGAAGAAGAAGAUGAAGAUGGAGAGAGGAGGAAACGGUCGCACAGUAGAGAGAGGGAGGAGAGAGGCAAUCGAAGGGAGAGAGGGAGGAGAGAGAAGGAAGAGGGGAUGACUUUUCUCUCUCUCAUGGCCCACCAUGACCUCAUGGAUGAUGUCACACUUCACUAUCUCCCACAACCUUAUUCCAAUGGUUGCAAUUCCAUUUUCCGCCGGGGCAUAAAAUCUUAUACAACAAAUUCUUCAAUUCCACUUGAUUCUCUUCCAAUUGAAUCAAAUUGAAGACCAUAAAAUUAAUCCGAUGUCACCACACUUCAAUUCACAUCUUCACUUGUCCAUAAAACCAACUUAAGUCCCAAAAGCACAACCAAGGGUGGGCCUAUUAAUUUUUCGAACCAAAUUAGCCAUAAUUUGAUUUAAUUGCUAAAAAAUUCUGAUUACAUGAAAAAUCUUCCGAAGAUGAGUCAAUGAUCCUAAAAUGAUUUGUGCCACACUAGGACUUCCAAUUUAUGAAUUCGAUCUCAAUUUCACGGUUAAUUUCACUUCGGCACGAUACUGUUGGAGAAAUCUUUCUGGAAUAUUUUGAAGCUGACAAAACGUUUCUAUCAGUCUAGUCUGAAAUUUUGCAGACUCUUCUAUUAAAGUCUGAAGACCUCUGGACUACCAGACUCAAGACUCAAAGUCUAUUCUCAUUGACAGUUUUUAAUCCGUUGAAGAAAGGCUAUCCAGAACUACUUCAUUAAGGAUUUGGCCUUAUCGACUGGAGAAGAUCUCUUGGCUGGAUAUGACAUAACGGAUUCCUUUAUUCAAAUCAAGAAUAAUUAAAGAUCCGAUGAUUGGCGAAGUAUUCUUGGAAGGUUCUACUUAUGGAAACCAAGAUCCUGAUUGUAUGGGCGAGCAGGAUUGAUGGGCUAUCGAUAUGUUCCUUUAAUAGCUCAAAUAAUAUUCCUAAUUGAUUCUAUCCAACGGGAGGAUUGGAAGAAUUCCUUUGGUAAGUGCCAACGGGUAUGAUGGCACAAAGGAGUAUAAAAGGAAGACGUUCUAGGUGUUCGAGGUAUGCACGAUAGAAGAAUUCCAAAGUCUGAAGCUCUUUGAUUCUUAGUCAAUUCAUUUACUGAGCGAAAUCUUGUACGCAAAAGAGAGUCUAUACUUUGAGAUACCUUGAGGAAGUGUGAUAGAAUAUCUACAUUGUGGAAUCAAGGGAAAGCAGUGCUGUAACAUCUCUUUUGUUCAUAGUGAAAUCCAGCUAGUGGGCUGUCAGUGCAGAAGAGUGGACGUAGGUUUGGAAUAAGCUGAACCACUAUAAACCUUGUGUUUAAUUUUCUCUUCCUUACUCUCCGCUUUACUUUGAUCAUAGUUCGAUUUGUUAACUAAAGGAGAGCUUCAUUUCUGUUGUUAGUCCAGUAUUGCUUUCAUAUCUCGAGAAAUUAUUUUUACACCUAUUCACCUCCCUCUAGGUGCUCAUACUAGCUAUAUCAGUUGGUAUCAGAGCAUGUGUACUCACUUUGUUUGAAGUGUUUUACUUCAGAGUUAAAGAUCCAUGGCUAGUAUGCUAGCUCCAGGGCCGGUGGAAGGGCAGAGCAAUACCAUACCACUUUACUUUGAUGGAAAUGAUUACAACAUCUGGAAAAACAAGAUGAAAGUGUUUCUACGAUCAAAGGAUCCUCUGGAAUGGGACGUUGUAGAAAAAGGAAUCACUCCUAAAGCUGGAUCUGUCACAGAGAGAGGAAAAGAAACUGUUGAGUCAAGUGAAAUGACUCAGGAAGAGAUAAUCAAGAGACAAGCUCUUGAUGCAAAAACAAUUUAUUCUUUAUAUUGUGCUUUAUCACCUACUGAAUAUAACAGAAUAUCUUCUUGUGAUACAACAAAAGAAGUCUGGGAUAGAUUACAUAUCACCUAUGAAGGAACUGAUCGAGUGAAAGAGACCAGAAUCAACAUUCUCCUCGGUCAAUAUGAAGCCUUCAAAAUGAAAUCAGGAGAAUCUAUAACUGACAUGUUUAGUCGUUUUACAGAAAUCAUGAAUGGUCUUCAAAAUCAAGGUCAACCAAUUUCUGAUCCCAUGAAGGUAAACAAGUUACUGCGUGGACUCUCCAAGGAUUGGAAUCACAUAAAGACCUCAAUAAGAGAGACACAAAGAAUCAUGCCACUAUCUGUCGAUGACUUGGUUGGAACUUUUCAGUCUUAUGAAGUAGAACGAAUCAAUGAAGACGAAGAUCCUAAAGGUAAGAAAUCCAUUGCAUUAAAAUCCAAUGAUGAUUCUGAUGUCACAGAUUCUGAAGACAAUAUGGAUGAUGAGGAACUUGCUCUCAUGAUAAAAAGAUUCAGAAAGCUAAACAGAAAAGGAAGAAGAUUCAAUCCAAAGAAACAGAGUUUUCAAAAGCAACAGACCAAGUCUGUUGAUGAUGAUGAAUUAAACAAAGAUGUAGUCUACUUUGAAUGUAAGAAAAAUGGACACAUCAGACCCAACUGUUCUCUUCUGAAAAAGAAGAAAGGAAAAGCUGAAAAGUAUCGAAAGGCUCUUAAAGCAGAAACCUGGAGUGAUACAGAGUGUGAAGAAAGUGAUGAUGAUUAUGCCAAUAUAUGUUUGAUGGCACAAUCGGAUUCAAAUUCAAACUCCGAGACAGACUCAGAUUCAGACAGUGAAUUUGAGGUAAGUAACUUUAAAAUUCCUGUUAAAAUCUCUAAAUACAUUGAUCAGCUGUGUUUUAGUCUUAAGACUUCUCUUAAAAGGAUUUCCGAACUUAAAAAGGAAAACUCUGCACUAAAACAACAGGAAAAUGUUUUGAAAGAAAAGUUGAAACAUUUAGACACGAAUGUUUCUACUCUUAAGGAAAGCGAAGAUAAUCUCUUGAAAGAAAAUGCAUUUUUAAAAAAUAAUUUAUCAAAUAUUUCAAAAAGAUUCUCAAUAGGAUCUGAUAAACUUGAAAAAAUUCUUUCAGCACAAAGACUUUAUUUCAAUAAAUCUGGUUUAGUAAUGACAGCAGAAACCAUUCCUUUAAUUGAUUUUCCUAAAGUAAAGGAAAGAAUUAAGCAGAGACCUUCAAAGACAUUUUACAAAAAUCAUUUUCAAAAAGUGUUUGUAAAACUAGUGGGUCAAAAUGCUCUCAGAUGUUCAAAAUGCAAUAGUGCUGAUCAUUUUGAAAAAGAGUGUCCUAUGGUUUGGAAACCUGUUAAGAAAGUAUGGGCAAAAACCGCAUAUUAUACUAACACCAAUGGAUCCAAGAAAAUAUGGGUAUCAAAGAAAGCUUAAGUCUUUUUAAAUGCAGGUCACUAUCAAGAAAAAGGUAAAAUGGUAUCUGGAUAGUGGAUGCUCAAGACAUAUGACAGGAGACUCAAAUUGCUUCAUAAAGCUCGUACAAGUAAAUGGUGGAAAAGUCUCAUUUGGAGGAAAUAGCAAAGGAAGAAUUGUGGGAUUUGGAACUGUUGUUGGAGAAAUCUUCUUGAAGUGUUUUGAAGUUGAGAAAACGUUUCUAUCAGCCUAGUCUGAAGGCUUGCAGAGUCUGCUGUUUAAAGUCUGAAGACCUCCGGACAGCCAGACUCAAGACUCAAAGUCUAUCCUCAUUGACAGUCUCUAAUCCGUUGAAGAAAGGUUAUCCAGAACUGGAUGUUUUGUUAAAGAUUUAACUUUAUCAACUGGAGAAGAUCUCGUGGCUGGAGAAGACAUAACAGAGUCCUUUGAUUGAUCGAAGAUUGACUCGAUAAUUGAAGAUCCGGUGAUUGCCUAAAUAUUAUUGGAAGGUUCUGCUUAUGGAAACCGAGAUCCUGAUUGUAUGGGCGAACAGGAUUGAUGGGCUAUCAACACGUUCCUUUAAUAGCUUGAACAAUCUUCCUAAUUGAUUCUGUCCAACGGGUAGAUUGAAGGAAUUCCUUUGGUAAGUGCCAACGGGUAUGAUGGCAUAAAGGAGUAUAUAAGGAAGACGGUCUUAGUUGUUCAAGGGGUGCGCGAUAGAAGAAUUCCAAAGUCUGAAGCUCCUUUUUGUUUAGACAAAUCCUUUGAGCGAAUACUUGUAUACAAAAGAGAGUCUAUAUUUGUGAGAAAUCUUGAGGAGGUGUGAUAGAACAUCUACACUGUGGAAUCAAGGCAAAGCUGUGCUGUAACUUCUCUUUUGUUCAUAGUGGAAUCCAGCCAAUAGGCUGUCAGUGAAGAAGGGUGGACGUAGGCUUGAUAUAAGCCGAACCACUAUAAACCGCGUGUUCAAUUUUCUCUUCUCUCAGUCUUACUUUGAUUAACGUCUCCUUCUACUGUCUAGUAUUGUGCAAUUGUUGAAGAAAAAUCUUUUAUAUACCUAUUCACCCCCCUCUAGGUACUCAUACUAGCAAUAUCAAUUGGUAUCAGAGCCUGUGUACUUACUUUAUUUGAAGUGUUUUACUUCGUAGUAAAAGAUCCAUGGCUAGUAUGCUAGCACCAGGGCUGAUGGAAGGGCAAAGCAAUAUCAGACCACCCUACUUUGAUGGAAAGGAUUACAACAUCUGGAAGAACAAGAUGAAAGCUUUCCUUCGAUCAAAGGAUCCUUUGGAAUGGGAUGUUGUAGAAAAAGGAAUUACUCCUACCACUGCAUCAGUCUCUGAAAGAGGAAAAGAAACUGAUGAGACUAGCGAAAUGACUCAGGAAGAGAUAAUUAAGAGACAAGCACUCGAUGCAAAAGCAAUUUAUUCCUUAUAUUGUGCUUUGUCACCAACUGAAUAUAAUAGAAUAUCUUCUUGUGUUACAGCAAAAGAAGUUUGGGACAGAUUGCAUAUCACCUAUGAAGGAACAGAUCGAGUGAAGGAAACAAGAAUCAACAUUCUUCUCGGUCAAUACGAAGCCUUCAGAAUGAAAUAAGGAGAAUCUAUAUCUGACAUGUUUAGUCGUUUUACAGAUAUUGUGAAUGGUCUUGAAAAUCAAGGUCAACCAACUUCUGAUCCCAUGAAGGUAAACAAGCUACUGCGUGGACUCUCCAGGGAUUGGAAUCACAUAAAGACUUCGAUAAGAGAGACGCAAAGAAUUAUGCCACUAUCUGUCGACGAGCUAAUUGGAACUCUUCAGUCUUAUGAAGUGGAACGGAUCAAUGAAGAUGAAGAUCCAAAAGGUAAGAAAUCCAUUGCAUUAAAAUCAAAUGAUGAUUCUGAUGAUAUAGAUUCUGAAGAAGAUAUGGACGAUGAGGAGCUUGCUCUCAUGAUAAGAAGAUUCAGAAAACUGAAUAGAAAAGGAAGAAGAUUCAACUCAAAGAAACAAAGCUUUCAAAGACAGCAGACCAAGUCUGUUGAUGAUGAGGAACCAAACGAAGACGUAGUCUGCUUUGAAUGUAAGAAAAAGGGACACAUCAGACCCAACUGUCCUCUUCUGAAGAAGAAGAGAGGAAAAGCUGAAAAAUUUCGAAAAGCUCUCAAAGCCGAAACCUGGAGUGAUACAGAGUGUGAAGAAAGUGAUAAUGAAUAUGCCAAUCUAUGUCUGAUGGCACAAUCAAACUCAGACUAUGGAUCAGACUCAGACAAUGAAUUUGAGGCAAGUAAUUUUAAAAUUCCUGUCAAAGUUUCUAAAUACAUUGAUGAACUGUGUUUUAGUCUUAAGACUUCUCUCAAAAGAAUUUCCGAACUGAAAAAGGAAAACUCAGCUCUAAAACAAAAGGAAAAUGUUUUAGUAGAAAGAGUUAAAAGUCUAGACAUGACUGUUUCCACUCUUAAAGAAAAUGAAGAUAAUCUUUUAAAAGAAAAUGCUCUUUUAAAAACAGACUUAUCAAAUAUUUCAAAGAAAUUUUCAAUAGGGUCUGAAAAACUUGAGAAAAUUCUUUCAGCUCAAAGACCUUACUUCAAUAAGUCCGGUCUAGGUAUGACAGCAGAAACAAUUCCCUUGAUUGAUUUUCCUAAAGUAAAAUAAAGAAUUAAGAAAAGACUCUCGAGAGAGGCUUACAAAAAUCACUUCAAGAAAGUUUUUGUAAAAUCUGUAGGUAGAAAUGCUCUCAGAUGUUCAAAAUGCAACAGUCCGGAUCACUUUGAAAAAGAGUGUCCUAUGGUUUGGAAACCUGUUAAGAAAAUAUGGGCUAAUACUGCUUAUGUUACUAACACCAAAGGACCCAAGAAAGUUUGGGUACCAAAGAAAGCUUGAUACUCUAUUUUAAAUGCAGGUCACCGUCAAGAAAAAGGUAAAGUGGUAUCUUGACAGUGGAUGCUCAAGACACAUGACAGGAGACUCAAAAUGAUUUAUAAAGCUUGCUCAAGUAAAUGGUGGAAAAGUUUCAUUUGGAGGAAACAACAAAUGAAGUAUUGUGGGAUUUGGAACUGUGAAAAUUGGAAAUCUCACAAUAAGUAAUGUUUCCUUAGUGGAAGGACUCAAUUACAAUCUUCUCAGCAUUAGUCAACUGUGUGAUACUGGUUUCAAGAUCUUCUUUCAAGAAGGAAUAUGUUCUAGAAUCAGUAAAGACUCUACUUAGUCUUUCAUGGGUCGAAGACAUGGAAACAUCUAUCUUCUGGAUGUGAAACCAAAUGAAUCGCAAUGUUUUAUCUCAAUUCAAGAUGCAGCAAGCUUAUGGCACAGAAAGCUUGGUCAUGUCAACAUGAAGCAAUUAGCCAAAAUCUCAUCAAAACAGCUUGUUCGAGGACUACCCAAAUUACCUUAUCAAAAGACUGAUCCAUGCACUCCAUGUAUUCUGGGAAAGCAGGUAAGAAAUUCAUUUAAGCCAAUAAAUCAUGUCUCUACUAAUCAUGUACUACAGUUGCUGCAUAUGGAUCUCUUCAGACCAACCAGAACACAGAGUAUUGGAGGUAAGAAAUAUUGCCUAGUAAUUGUGGACGAUUACUCUCGUUUUACUUGGGUAUAUUUCCUUGCAAGUAAGUUCGAAACCUUCUUGUAUUUUGAAAAAUUUGCUAAAAAGGUUCAAAAUGAAAAAUGAUGUGUCAUCUCAAGUAUAAGAACAGAUCAUGGAGGUGAAUUUGAAAAUCAAGAUUUUAUAAAAUUUUGUGAUGAAUCUGGAUUUAAUCAUGUGUUCUCCUCUCCAUAUACUCCUCAGCAAAAUGGAGUUGUGGAAAGAAAGAAUAGAUCUCUUCAAGAAAUGGCUAGAACUCUUUUAAUUGAAAGCAAGAUUUCUUCACGAUUUUGGGCUGAAGCUGUUUCAACAGCAUGCUAUAUAAUCAAUAGAGUCUUCUUAAGACCUAUUCUAGAGGAAACCCCUUAUGAGUUAUUCAAAGAUAAGAAGCCUAUUGUUCCAUACUUUCAUGUAUUCGGUUGCAAAUGUUUUAUAUUGAAAAAUGCAAAAGAUCGAGUUGGUAAGUUUGAAGAAAGAUCGGAUGAAGGUAUCUUCCUUGGAUAUUCUACAUCAAGCAAAGCCUUCAGAGUCUAUAACAAGAAGAGCCAGUCUGUAGAGGAGUCAAUGAAUGUCAAAUUUCAAGACUCAACACAAGAUGAAUCAAGUCAGACUCAUCAAGAAGAGUCUGAACCUGCUCCAGACCUUCCAAAGCUUACAACUCAAGAAGCAUCUCAGACUUUGGAAAACCAGUAUCAGGAUGUUCGUGAAGAUCCAAACAAAGAGAGAGAUCAUCAUCCAGACAAAUCAACAAGUAACCGGAAGCAUAAGUCCAGUCAUCCCAAAGAUCUUAUAAUCGGCGAAAUUAAUGAAGGAAUUCGCAUCAGAUCCAAAAGGCGAGAAGAGUCUAGUGCUGUGGCUCUCGUUUCUGAAAUUGAACCAAAGAGCAUAGAAGAAGCUUUAUUUGAUGAAAGCUGGAUUGAAGCUAUGCAAGAAGAGCUCAGAUAGUUCAACAUUAAUGAUGUCUGGGAAUUGACAUCCAAACCAAAAGGUAAAACUGUUAUUGGAGCUAAAUGGGUGUUCAGAAACAAGAUGAAUGAGAAAGGAAAAGUCGUACGAAACAAAGCAAGACUCGUAGCCAAGGGAUAUACGCAAGAAGAAGGAAUAGACUAUGAUGAGACUUACGCUCCAGUAGCAAGGUUAGAAGCUAUUCGACUAUUACUUGCGUUUGCUUGUUAUAAGAAUUUCAGGUUAUUCCAAAUGGACGUCAAAAGCGUCUUCCUAAAUGGAUUUAUCCAUGAGGAAGUUUAUGUGGAACAACCACCAGGGUUUGAAGACCCAAAGAAGCCAGACUCAGUCUUCAGACUGAAAAAGGCUUUGUAUGGUUUAAAGCAAGCACCUCGAGCUUGGUACGACAGAUUGAGUAAGUUUUUAAUACAAAAUGGUUUUGUUAAAGGUAAAGUAGAUACGACUUUAUUUAUCAAAAAGGAAAACAAAAGUUUCUUACUUGUUCAAAUAUAUGUGGAUGACAUUAUUUUCGGAUCCUCUAAUAAAAAUCUGUGCAAGAAAUUUUCUAAGUCUAUGCAGGAUGAGUUUGAAAUGAGUAUGAUGAGAGAGUUAACAUUCUUUCUUGGUCUUCAAGUAAAACAAUUGAAGGAAGGAACUUUUAUUUAUCAAGAAAAAUAUGUUAAUGAUCUUGUCAAAAGAUUUGGACUGGAAAAGUGCAAAAAGACCGACAUACCAAUGUCAAGUUCUUUGAAGAUAGACAAAGAUGAAGAAGGGAAGAAAGUUGAUCAAAAGCUGUACAGGAGCAUCAUUGGUUCACUCCUUUAUCUUACUGCUUCUAGACCUGACAUCUUGUUGAGUGUUUGCAUCUGUGCUAGGUUUCAAUCAGAUCCUAGAGAAUCCCAUCUCAGUGCUGCGAAACGCAUCAUUAAAUACGUUGCUUCAUCAUCAAGCAUCGGUCUUUGGUAUCCUAAGAAGGGAGACUUUAAUCUUCUGGGGUAUUCAGACGCAGAUCUGGCCGAUUGCAGAGUUGAUAGAAAGAGCACUUCGGGAACUUGCCAGUUGCUUGGAAGCAGGACAGUGUCUUGGUUUUCAAGAAAACAAAGCACUGUGUCUCUUUCAACAACAGAAGCAGAGUAUGUAGCCCUGGGAAGCUGCUGUUCGCAAAUUCUAUGGAUAAAACAACAGCUGAGAGACUUUGAAAUUGAAGACUCAUGCACGGAGAUUAAUUGCGACAACACCAGUGCUAUCAACCUCACCAAAAAUCCAAUUCUCCACUCAAGAGCAAAGCAUAUAGAAAUUCGACAUCACUUUAUUAAAGAUCAUGUUCAAAAUGGAGAUGUUUCAAUUCAAUUUGUUGACUCAAAGAAUCAACUGGCGGAUAUAUUCACAAAGCCUUUGGAGAAAAAUCAAUUUGAGUCUAUUCGUUCCAGACUCAACAUUCUGAGGUAUGAGGAUAUCAAAGUCUAAAGACCUUCAGACUCAGUCUUACAAGACUUUAUUUGAAAGAUAGUCUUGGUACGACCGUCAGACUGUAAGUCUUUCUCUCUUGAAUCUCAUCUUGAAAAGGUACGAUUGUCAGACUGUGUUUAAAUUAUUGCUAUAUUUAAUUGACGUAAAUAUUGCAUCGUUUCAUUUUCAAAAAGGAAGUUAUUUUUGAAAUGGCUAUUUUUGCGGAAAAAGACAGUUAUUUUGAAAAGGCAUUCUUUUAUUUCCUUUGUGACGGUUCGUUUAUCCCUCUUUUUAACCGAUCGUGCACUGUCCAUUCCUUUUCACUUUUCUCUCAAAAACCCUAGAAAGCAUCGACCCUCCAUUCCCGUUUGUCUUCUUCGUUUAAUCCUCAAAAAGUUGUCAUCUUUCCUGGGAAAGUCAAGCAAGGAAUCUUCCAAAAACUGAGAAAGAUGUCAUCUUCAAGAAAGUCUUCGAGAAUUGCAAGCAGGGGACCACGGUGAAUGAGUGAGGGGCCUACGCACUUCGAUCUUACUGAAGAUGAAGUGACUCCAGAACAGCAAGCGAGCCCACAACAUUCUCAACAGCGCCAUUCUCCUCCAUCUAGUCCUCAAGGCGUUGAUCAUCAACAACAGGAAGAAAUCAUCGAGGAUGCAGACCCUGUAAGAGUUCAAAAGCCCGCUUAUAUUUACCAGUUAUAUCGUGCCCUAAAAGGAAUUUGUACUCCUUUGAACUACAUUGAUGAUUUUCUUAAAGACAAAGGACAUGGGAACGAAUAUAUCUUUCUGCGAAAAAUGGAAAGUUUGGGAAUCGCUCGAAAAGGGGUGGCUGAGGAAACCCUUGCAAAUAUCCCAAGUGAUCCUCGUGACUGGGGGCCGAAUCCUGUAGAUGGGAAUGAUGAUGAUAAAUUAUACAGUCAAUUUCAACCGAAAAUGGGUGUUGCGGUUGAAAAUCAAGGAAAAAUGGGAGAUUUGUUCAGAUCAAAUGAGCAAAAGGAUCUGUACUCGAAAUUGCUGAAGCGUGGGGUAAUAAACCCUAGGAGUGUGGAUUUUGAUUUUCUGGAUGCUGUGAAUGUGAACUUGAGGGAAAAGUUCAGUUAUCUUCAACUUGAAAAGUUCUGCUCUGACUCUACAGAGGCCUAUGCUGAAUUAACUGCAUAUUUCUAUUCAAAUCUAAGCUUUUUGGAUACGAAUAGAUUCUCUUUCAGCGUUAAAGACCAAGACUAUGUUGUGGAUAUGAAUAUGCUGGCAGAUGUGUUAGAAGUCGAAAGAGGAAGAUAUCAACCAAUCAAAGUUUCCAUUGCUCGGGCCACACUUGAACUGGUGAAGGACAGGAGAACAGAUGAAAAGAUCACCUACUUAAGGAUGGGUGCAUUCAACAUCUUGCUUCACAAGAUUGUGAUUAAUUGCCUCCGACCGAAAUCAACUUCCAAGACUGAUGUUUCAAGUUCAGAGGCCAAGCUGAUGUAUGCCAUUCUCUUUGGAAAAAGGUUUUCUCUCCCUCGCACUGUGAUGUUUCACAUGUAUAGAGCAAUGAUGAAGGACAGAGGUCAACUCCCUUACCCAAGUCUUGUUACGAAGUUAUUUAGACAUCUGAAUAUUCAGCCUCCACAAAUAUUUUGUGUUCGACCAUGCGAUCAUAUGGUGGUAGGACUGAAAAUGGUGACCAAAAUGCGUCUAAAGGAACUGAGCAAGGAGUUGGAGAAAUUCAAGGAGAAGACUCCUACAAAAUCUCAUCAAAUCUCUUCUGCAGCUAAAAGAAAAGGGAAGGAGCCCAUGGUUGCUCCAUCUAAGAGAAGAAGAGCUCUCCUCGUUGAGGAUGAAGAUGAUGAGGAAGACAUCACCAUCUCUGCAUUGUCUUUGAAGAAUUUAAGUCGUCCUGUUCCACAGAAAGAAUCGGAACAAAUGACGAAAGAAGCAGAGGAGAAGGAAGAAGAAGAAAUAGAAGCUGAAAAAGAAACAGAGGAGGAAAGACCUGAAGAAGAAAGAAGAGAAGAAGGAGAACCUGAAGAACACUCUUCUCCACUUGUAGGCAUGGAAACAGGGGGAGAUCAGGAGAAAGGAGUAAAGUCUUCAUAUCCUGAUGCAAGUGAAGGAGUCAGUCGCUCACCAGCAGACCCAGAGGAUGUUUAUGCAUCUCAGUUUCCAGAGGAAGGUCAUGAAGUUUCAUCGCCAAACCUGCGAGAUUAUGCUGAUCUACCAUCGUUUGCAUUUACUCCAUCAGAUCGAGCCGAAGCAAGUACUCAGACUGAUAAUGGAGCAGAUUUUCGCAGAAUCAUGGAUAUUCUCUUGGAGAUGCGAGGUCAAAUUUAUGCCUUGGGAUGCGAAGUUCAAAGCUUGAAGAAUGAAGGUCAAGCUUCUUCCUGUUCAUUGAAUGAUAAAAUGCAAGCCCUCUCUGUUCAGAAUCAGGCCAAUGCCAAGAGUGAGGAGAUUGCACAUCUAAAGGAAGACUUUAAAAGACUGGAAGGCAUCGUUCAGUCUAUGGAAGAUUUCCAGCUUGUCCGCGUUCCCAAGCAAUCUUAACUUCAUCUCAUCCUUUUUAAUGAUGACAAAAAGGGGGAGAGAUGCAAGAUUUGAACAAAAACUUUUCAUUCAUUAAACUUUUAAUCGUUUGUUGGAUUGUUUUGUGGUUUGAACUCUGUUUGACUUUGCUUUGUGUCUGGAUGAGAACUGAACUUGGACUUGACUGCCUUUAUUAACUAAUAUUGAUAUCUUAUGGAUGGCUUCAUCAUAUACUGGACUAACCUACUUUCUGUGGUUGCAGAUUCUAGUGUUAUUCUGUUAGCCAUUUAUCUCUAUAAGAUAUGCAUAUGUGUUUGAGAAAUGUUUUACAGGUCAAAGAUAUCCAAAUCUGCAGGAAAGUUUUGUCACCAUAAAAAAUGGGGAGAUUGUUGGAGAAAUCUUCUUGAAGUGUUUUGAAGUUGAGAAAACGUUUCUAUCAGUCUAGUCUGAAGGCUUGUAGACUCUGCUGUUUAAAGUCUGAAGACCUCCGGACAGCCAGACUCAAGACUCAAAGUCUAUCCUCAUUGACAGUCUCUACUCCGUUGAAGAAAGGUUAUCCAUAACUGGAUGUUUUGUUAAAGAUUUAACUUUAUCAACUGGAGAAGAUCUCGUGGCUGGAGAAGACAUAACGGAGUCCUUUGAUUGAUCGAAGAUUGACUCGAUAAUUGAAGAUCCGGUGAUUGCCUAAAUAUUAUUGGAAGGUUCUGCUUAUGGAAACCGAGAUCCUGAUUGUAUGGGCGAACAGGAUUGAUGGGCUAUCAACACGUUCCUUUAAUAGCUUGAACAAUCUUCCUAAUUGAUUCUGUCCAACGGGUAGAUUGAAGGAAUUCCUUUGGUAAGUGCCAACGGGUAUGAUGGCAUAAAGGAGUAUAUAAGGAAGACGGUCUUAGUUGUUCAAGGGGUGCGCGAUAGAAGAAUUCCAAAGUCUGAAGCUCCUUUUUGUUUAGACAAAUCCUUUGAGCGAAUACUUGUAUACAAAAGAGAGUCUAUAUUUGUUAGAAAUCUUGAGGAGGUGUGGUAGAACAUCUACACUGUGGAAUCAAGGCAAAGCUGUGCUGUAACUUCUCUUUUGUUCAUAGUGGAAUCCAGCCAAUAGGCUGUCAGUGAAGAAGAGUGGACGUAGGCUUGAUAUAAGCCGAACCACUAUAAACCGCGUGUUCAAUUUUCUCUUCUCUCAGUCUUACUUUGAUUAACGUCUCCUUUUACUGUCUAGUAUUGUGCAAUUGUUGAAGAAAAAUCUUUUAUAUACUUAUUCACCCCCCUCUAAGUACUCAUACUAGCAAUAUCAACUGUAAAGAUUUGAAACCUCACAAUAAGCAAUGUUUCCCUAGUGGAAGGACUCAACUACAAUCUGCUCAGUAUCAAUGAGCUGUGUGACACUAGUUUCAAAAUAAAUUUUCAAGAGGGAAUAUGUUCAGAAACCAGUAAAGACUCUACUCAGUCAUUCAUGGACCGAAGACAUGGAAAUAUCUACCUCUUGGAUGUGAAACCAGAUGAAUCGCAAUGUCUAAUCUCAAUUCAAGAUGAAGCAAGCUUAUGGCACAAAAAGCUUGGGCACAUCAAUAUGAAGCAGAUAGCCAAAAUUUCAGCAAAGAAGCUUGUUCGUGGUUUACCCAAAUUAUCAUACCAAAAGACUGAUCUAUGUACACCAUGCGUAUUAGGAAAGCAGGUAAGAAAUUCCUUUAAACCAAUAAAUCAAGUUUCCACUAAUCAUGUACUGCAGCUUCUGCAUAUGGACCUUUUUGGACCUACCAGAACUCAGAGUAUUGGAGGUAAGAAAUAUUGCCUAGUAAUUGUGGAUGAUUACUCACGAUUUACUUGGGUAUAUUUCCUGGCAAGUAAGUCUGAAACUUUCUCUUACUUUGAAAAGUUUGCAAAAAAGGUUCAAAAUGAAAAAGGGUAUGUUAUCUCGAGUAUAAGAACAGAUCAUGGAGGUGAAUUUGAAAAUCAUGAUUUUACAAAAUUCUGUGAUGAAUCUGGUUUUCAGCAUAUGUUCUCAUCUCCAUAUACUCCAGAGCAAAUUGGAGUUGUGGAAAGAAAGAAUAGAUCACUUCAAGAAAUGGCUAGAACUCUUUUAAUUGAAAGUAACAUCUCUUCACGUUUUUGGGCUGAAGCAGUUUCAACAGCAUGUUACAUUAUAAAUAGAGUUUUUCUAAGGCCUAUUUUGGAAAAAACCCCCUAUGAGUUAUUCAAAAGAAAGAAGCCUAUUGUUUCAUAUUUUCAUGUGUUCGGAUGCAAAUACUUUAUAUUGAAAAAUGCAAAUGAUAGAGUUGGUAAGUUUGAAGAAAAAUCAGAUGAAGGAAUCUUCCUUGGAUAUUCUACCUCAAGCAAAGCUUACAGAGUCUAUAACAAGAAGAGUCGAUCUGUGGAGGAAUCAAUGAAUGUCAAAUUCCAGGAUUCUAUGCAAAAUGAAUCUACUCAGACUCAUAUUGAAGAAUCUGAACCUGCUCCAAACUUUACAAAGUCUAAAUCUCAAUAAGCAACUCAGACUCUGAAAGACCAGCAUCAAAUGGUUAUUGAAGAUUCAAAUGAAGGAAGUGAUCAUCAACUUGACAAAUCAACCAGUAACUGGAAGCAUAAGUCCAGUCAUCCCAAAGACCUCAUAAUUGGCGACAUUAAUGAAGGAAUUCGCACAAGAUCCAAAAGGCGCGAAGAGUCUAGUGCUGUGGCUCUUAUUUCUGAAAUAGAACUAAAAAGUAUAGAAUAAGCUUUAUCUUAUGAAACCUGGAUUGAAGCUAUGCAAGAAAAACUUAGACAAUUCAGUAUUAAUGAUGUCUGGGAGUUAACUCCUAAACCAAAAGAUAAAUCUAUUAUUGGAGCUAAAUGGGUUUUUAGGAACGAGAUGAACGAAAAAGGUAAAAUCGUAAGAAACAAAGCAAGAGUCGUGGCCAAGGGAUAUACGCAAGAAGAAGGGAUAGACUAUGAUGAAACUUACGCACCAGUAGCAAGGUUAGAAGCAAUUCGAUUAUUACUUGCUUUUGCUUGUUAUAAGAAUUUCAGGUUAUUCCAAAUGGACGUCAAAAGUGCUUUCCUGAAUAGAUUUAUCCAUGAGGAAGUUUAUGUGGAACAACCACCUGGGUUUGAAGACCCAAGGAAGCCAGACUCAGUAUUCAGACUGAAAAAAGCCUUGUAUGGAUUAAAGCAAGCACCUCGAGCUUGGUACGACAGGCUAAGUAAGUUUUUAAUUCAAAAUGGCUUUGAAAAAGGUAAAGUAGACACUACUCUGUUUAUCAAAAGAGAAAGCAAAAAUUUUCUGCUUGUUCAAAUAUAUGUUGAUGAUAUCAUUUUUGGAUCCUCAAAUGAAAGUUUGUGCAAGAAAUUCUCUAAGUCUAUGCAGGAUGAAUUUGAAAUGAGCAUGAUGGGUGAACUAACCUUCUUUCUUGGACUUCAAGUGAAACAAUUGAAGGAAGGGACUUGUAUUCAUCAAGAAAAAUAUGCUAAUGAUCUUGUCAAAAAGUUUGGACUGGCAAAUUGCAAAAAGACUGAUAUACCAAUGUCAAGUUCCUUGAAGAUAGACAAAGAUGAAGGAGGAAAGAAAGUUGACCAUAAGCUAUACAGGAGUAUCAUUGAUUCACUUCUUUAUCUUACUGCUUCUAGACCUGACAUUUUGUUUAGUGUUUGCAUUUGUGCCAGAUUUCAAGCAGACCCUAAAGAAUCUCAUCUAAGUGCUGCAAAGCGUAUUAUCAAAUACAUUGCUUCAACUUCAAGCAUCGGCCUUUGGUAUCCUAAAAAGGGAGACUUUACUCUCCUUGGAUAUUCAGAUGCAGAUCUAGUCGGUUGCAGAGUUGAUAGAAAGAGCACCUCGGGUACCUGUCAAUUACUUGGAAGCAGGACAGUGUUUUGGUUUUCAAGGAAGCAAAAUACAGUAGCUCUUUCUACAGCAGAAGCAGAAUAUGUAGCUCUCGGAAGUUGUUGUUCACAAAUUCUGUGGAUAAAAUAACAAUUAAGAGAUUUUGGAAUUGAAGAUUCAUGCACUGAGAUCAACUGUGACAACACUAGUGCAAUUAAUCUUACCAAAAAUCCAAUUCUUCACUCAAGAGCAAAGCAUAUAGAGAUUCGACAUCACUUCAUUAGAGAUCAUGUUCAAAAUGGAGAAGUUUCGAUUCAGUUUGUUGACUCAAAGAACCAACUGGCGGAUAUAUUUACGAAGCCUUUGGAGAAAAAUCAUUUUGAAAUCAUCCGUUCCAGACUCAACAUCUUGAAGCUUAAAGAAGUUAAAGUCUAGAGACUCUCAGUUUUAGACAACCAUGGUUCUUGACUGUAAGUUAUUUUAUUUUCUCUUAUAUUAAAUCUCGAAAAGGUACGAUCAUAAUUGAUUUAUGCUAUCUUCAAUUUCCGUGAAAGUGCAAUUUUUUUUUCCUUUUCAAAAGAGUUAAUGGCAGUUAUCUAUUUUUUUUUAAAAAAGGCAGUUAUUUUUUAAAAAUGUAUCUUUUAACCUUCCUUUACGACGUUUGGCAUUCCCCCGUUUCAACUAAGCUAUAUUUAGUCGGUUCCUCUUCACUUAACUCCAAAACCCUAAAAAGCAUCGAUCUUCCAUUCCUGUCUUUCUCCUUUGUUUAAUCUUCAAAAAGUUGUCAUCUUUCUUGGGAAAGUCAAGCAAUGAAUCUUUCAAAGACUGAGAAAGAUGUCAUCUUCAAAAAAGUCUUCGAGGAUUGCAAGCAGGGGACCACGACGAAUGAGUAAGAGGCCUACUCACUUUUAUCUCACUGAGGAAGAUGAGUCACCAAGUCAGCAGUAGAGCCCACAACAUUCUCAGCAGCGUCAUUCUCCACCAUCUAGUCCACAGAAUGCUGUUCAUCAACAAGAGGAAGAAAUCGUAGAAAAUGCAGAUCCUGUAAGAGUUCAAAAACCCUCUUUUAUUUAUAAGCUUUACCGUGCUUUAAAGAGCAUUGGUACUCCAUUGAACUACAUCGAUGAGUUUCUUAAGGACAAGGGAUAUGGGAAUGAGUACAUCUUUUUGCGAAAAUUGGAGAGUUUGGAAAUUGCUCCUAAGGGGUUGGCAGAAAAAACCCUUGCAAAUAUCCCAAGUGAUCCGCGUGUUGGAGGAUUUAAUCCGAUAGAUGGAAAUGAUGAUGACAGAUUAUACAAAGAAUUUCAACCGAGAAUGGGUGUUGCGGCGAAAAUUCGAGGAAAAAGAACAUAAUUGUUUAGAUCGAAGGAACAUAAUGAUCUAUACUCCAAUUUGUUGAAACGUGGGGUGAUAAAUCCUAGGAGUGUAGAUUUUGAUUUCCUUGAUGCUGUGAAUGUCAAUUUGAGGAAAAAGUUUAGUUUUCUUCAACUUGAACAGUUCUGUUCCGACACCACAGAAGCCUAUGCUCAAUUAACUGCAUAUUUCUAUUCAAAUCUUAGUUUCUUGGAUGUGAAUAGAAUCUCCUUCAGUGUCCGAGAUCAGGACCUUGUAGUGGAUGUGGAUAUGUUGGCAGAUGUUAGUGGGGUUGAGAGAGGGAGAUAUCAACCCAUCAGUGUCUCUAUAGCUCGUGCCACAUUGGAACUUGUUAAAGACAGAAUGACAGAGGGAAGGAUUUCGUACUCAAGGAUGUGUGCAUUCAACAUUCUGCUUCACAAAAUUGUGAUAAAUUGCCUCAGACCGAAAUCAACUUCUAAGACUGAUGUUUCUAACUCAGAGGCAAAGCUGAUGUACGCCAUCAAUGCUGGAAAAAAGUUUUCUCUUCCUCACACUAUUCUGUUUCACAUGUAUAGAGCAGUCAUGAAGGACAAGGGCCAACUUCCUUAUCCAGGUCUUGUGUCAAAGAUAUUCAGACAUUUGAAUAUUCAGCCUCCACAAAUUCUCUGUGUUCGACCAUGUGACAAAAUGGUGGUAGGACUAAAAAUGAUGUCCAAAACGCGUCUAAAAGAACUCAACAAGGCGUUGGAGAAAUUUAAGGAGAAAACCCCUGUCAAAUCUCUUCUGCAGCGAAAAGAAAAGGGAAGGAGCCCAUGGUUACUCCAUCCAAAAAGAGAAAAGCUCUCAUUACUGAUGAAGAUGAUGAGGAUGACCUCACAAUUUCUGCUAUAGCAUUAAAGAAGUUGAGUCGUUCUGUUCCUAAAUCAAUAGAACGACAGGAGAAAGAAGCAGAGAAGAGAAAAGAACAGGAGAAAGAAGAAGAUACAGAAGCAGAGGAGAGAGAAGCAGAGGAGAAGGAAGAAAAGGAGAAAGAAGCUGAAGAAAAAGAAACAGACGAGGAAAGGUUGGAAGAAGAAGAAGAAAUAGAAAAUCAAAAGGAAGGAGAGCAUGAGGAAAACUCUUCUCCACCUGAAGCCAUGGAAACAGGGGGAGAUGGUGAAAAUAGAGGAAUGUCCUCAUAUCCUGUUACCAGUGAAGGAGUCAGUUGCUCUCCAGCAGAUCCAGAAGACAUUCAUGCCUCUCAAUUUCCUGAGGAGGGACAUGGUGCUUCAUCACCAAAUCUGCGUGAUUAUGCUGAUAUACCAUCGUCUGCCUUUACUCCAUUAGAUCGUGCCGAAGCCAAUACGCAGACUGAUAACUCAGCAGAUUUUCGCAGAAUCAUUGAUGUUCUUUUGGAAUUUCGGGGUCAGAUAUAUGCUUUGGAAAGCGAAGUACAGAACUUGAAGAAUGCAAGACAAGUUUCUUCCGUUUCAUUGUCUAAACAGAUCCAAGCCCUUGCUCUUCAGAUUCAAGCCAAUGCUAAAGGUGAAGAGGUGGAUCAUCUAAAGGAAGAAUUGAAAAAGCUGGAAGGCAUCAUCCAAUCCAUGGGAGAUUUCCAGCUUGUUCACAUUCCCAAGCAAACUUGACUCCACUAUUCCCAUCUCAACUUCUUUUUAUGAUGAUGACAAAAAGGGGGAGAGAUACGAGAUUUGAAAUCUUUGAACUCAAAGUUUAACAAUUUUUAGUUUGUUUUGAUGUGUGACUUGUGUGUCUAUGUCUGGAUAAGGAUUGACUGAACGUGGAUUUGGAUUUGAUUGUUGUUUAUAUUAAGUACUAUUGAUAUCUUAUGAAUGGCUUGCUUUACUCUCAUGAAAGACUAACCUAUUUUCUGUGGUUGCAGAUUCUAGUGUUAUCAUUAAGCUAUUAAUCUUUAUGAGAUAUCCAUAUUUGCUUGAGUAAUGUUUUGCAAGUCAAAGUUAUUCAAAUCUGCAGGAAAGUUUUGUCACCAUAAAAAAAUGGGGAGAUUGUUGGAGAAAUCUUUCUGGAAUAUUUUGAAGCUGACGAAACGUUUUUAUCAGUCUAGUCUGAAGUUUUGCAGACUCUUCUAUUAAAGUCUGAAGACCUCCGGACUACCAGACUCAAGACUCAAAGUCUAUUCUCAUUGACAGUUUCUAAUCCAUAGAAGAAAGGCUAUCCAGAACUACUUCAUUAAGGAUUUAGCCUUAUCGACUGGAGAAGAUCUCUUGGCUGGAUAUGACAUAACGGAUUCCUUUAUUCAAAUCAAGAAUGAUUAAAGAUCCGAUGAUUGGCGAAGUAUUCUUGGAAGGUUCUACUUAUGGAAACCAAGAUCCUGAUUGUAUGGGCGAGCAGGAUUGAUGGGCUAUCGACAUGUUCCUUUAAUAGCUCGAAUAAUCUUCCUAAUUGAUUCUAUCCAACAGGAGGAUUGGAAGAAUUCAUUUGGUAAGUGCCAAUGGGUAUGAUGGCACAAAGGAGUAUAAAAGGAAGACGUUACAGGUGUUCGAGGUAUGCACGAUAGAAGAAUUCCAAAGUUUGAAGCUCUUUGAUUCUUAGUCAAUUCAUUUACUGAGCGAAAUCUUGUACGCAAAAGAGAGUCUAUACUUUGAGAUACCUUGAGGAAGUGUGAUAGAAUAUCUACAUUGUGGAAUCAAGGGAAAGCAAUGCUGUAACAUCUCUUUUGUUCAUAGUGAAAUCCAGCUAGUGGGCUGUCAGUGCAGAAGAGUGGACGUAGGCUUGGAAUAAGCCGAACCACUAUAAACCUUGUGUUUAAUUUUCUCUUCCUUACUCUCCGCUUUACUUUGAUCAUAGUUCGAUUUGUUAACUAAAUGAGAGCUUCCUUUCUGUUGUUAGUCCAGUAUUGCUUUCAUAUCUCGAGAAAUUAUUUUUACACCUAUUCACUCCCCUCUAGGUGCUUAUACUAGCUAUAUCAGAUACUAGCGCGUCCUGAUUUACCAGGCAACUUUUAGAAAUUUUCAUGCAUUUGACUUGUGGUUGAUCAAUUCAAGCCACAAUGUACAUCUUUGACACAUUGGUGACUUUCGAUUGUCGAGGUAAUCUCAAGGUUUCAAAUAUGGACACAAGGUACCCAAUAGACAGAAAAGUCAGUCCAGUGCCAAUCGACAAAAUUGUGCGAUCCGGUGGAAUCACCCAUACUCAAUCACAUGCCUCUGUCGAGUCGACCUAUCUCCGGUCUCUAAUCGAUUUUUAUUUGUGCCAUAAUAACCCUUGCAAAUUAGGUCGGUCGAAAGGUCGCUUCCUGUUCAAAUUCUCGAGUCUGAUGCAUUAGAAUCUCUUAACAGCUUCACCUGAUAGACUAGUUUUCACAUGAGUGGCCGACUCAAGGAAAUGAAUUAUAUGCGUGCCAACGAAAUGCCCAUCUCAAUUUAUUGAAAAUAGAAUUGAAAAAUCGGGAUGUCACAACUCUUCCCCUCUUAUAAAAAUUUCGUCCUCGAAAUUUAAACCUUUACCAAUUCUUAAACAAAAAGGUGGGGGUAUAGUCGUCUCAUCAAAUCUUCUUUUUCCUAGGUUGCUCCUUCAGUGCCAAUGCUGCCAGAUCAUUGUAUGUGACAUUCCAAUUUUUCUCAAUUUUAUUUUCAGUCAAUUGAGUUGGACGAUUCAUCUAUGCAUGUAGUUCGUCUCUUAGAGUUGACCGCUCACGAGGGAACUAAUCUAUUGAGUAAAGCAAUUAAGGAAUUUUACUACGUCAGACUUGGGGACUGAUCACCCUCUGGUCGGAUGCAAGAAAAUUUCCCCAAAAGCUACUCAGUGGAUUAGGCACGUUGAAAUCACACCAGAUUGAAUUUAACCAUGAAAAUUGGGAUUGAAUUUAGAAAUUGGAAGCCGGUUAUGUCACAUACCUUAUUAGGAUCAUGGGAUAAUUUGGUAGACUUUAAUUGGACUCAAUUAUGAGAGAAUUGAAUGAAAAAUUGAAGAAAUUAGAUGUACAAGAAUUAGACCCCGGCGGAAAAUGAAAGUGCAACCAUUGAAAAAGUUGUGGGGGAUUUGAGUGAGUGGAAGAUGACAUGGGAUGAUGUGAUGGUGGUUGAGGCCAAGGGUUGAGGGCUUGACAAGUGGAGGUUGGAGAUUGAAUCUCCAAAAAGGCCCCAUCACCAUCAUCUUCAAGCUUGGGAGGAGAGAGAGAGAGGCGGAAAGAGAGAGAACCGGCCAGCCCCCGACCGUCGACCAGCCGUGCGUCGCUCCCCCGCCGUUCGCCGUCAUUGUGCCGCGCUGCCAUCGCUGCCUCGCGCGACCGCACGAAGCCCCACGCGCGAGCGCGCUCCUCGCCCCUCUACUCCGCUCCGCUUCUCUUCGCCCGCGCCAGCCGUCACCACCGUCGUUCCGAGCUGCCAUCCGUCACCGGAGACCCCGCCAAGUUGCCGUGAGCCACCGCUAAGCUGCAGCCGCCCCUCUCCUCCGCCUUUUCUACCUCUAGCCGUCGCCGUUUCUCCCUUCUUCGACCUUAACGUGCAGCAAAAAAGAGUGGGUUUUGCAGUCCGGUUAAGGCCCGUUUUGGCCGUCUUCCCGACCCCGGAAGCUAGGCCCGCCUUUGGAAAAGUUGAUCCCGACGUCGCCCUCAUUGUUUUGGUCCAAGCGGUGAGUUAAUCAAGUGAGUUUACCUUACUAAACCUUGAUUAGAGUGUUAAUAAUGCCAUAAGUGUGUUUAGUUUAAAUUAAGUAAGUUUAGGUGGGUAGAUUAGUGUAUUUAAUUAUAAAUUGGGUUAAGAGGUUGAUUUAUGUCAAAGUGUGUUUAAUUAAGGUUAAAAGAAGUUAUUUAAUGUUAAGCCUUGAUGGGACAUAAUAGGAUUUUAGUUUUGAAUUAUUUAAUUGCUUCAAAAUUCUAGAAAGUAUAAUAUUAUAUUAUAAUCCGAAAUUAUUAAAAUAUUAUUAAAAAAACGAAAAAAAUUAUUUUUGAUUGCUCAGAAUUUCUUGCCGAUCGCUAUUGUGUAUUUAGAAUUUAAAAUUGAAGAGUGAUUAUGGCAAAUUGAGUGUGAUUGCGAUAAAUAGGAAUUCUUUAUAAAAUCCCAAUAGUCGAAAUUGAUGAGAGAUUGGCCGUGAUUGAUCACUUAUUAGAGGUUGUGCCCAAUGGGACCAUGAUGGACCGCCUAUGAGAGGUCGUGCCCAAUGGAGCCGUGAUGGACCGCCUAUGAGAGGUCGUGCCCAAUAGAGCCGUGAUUAACCACCUAUUAGAGGUCGUGCCCAUCGGGCCGAGAUCUACCACCUAAUUAAAGGUCGUGCCGAGUGGGGCCGUGAUUGCCACUAGUUGUUAAACCUUCCUAUAGGGUCGUGAUUGGAAGCAGUAAUUGAUUUGCUAGAAUGAGAUGUAAUCGGCCGAGUCGAUUGAUCGCUGAGAUGAUCUAAGUGAUUGAAUUGUUUUGAUAAUGUGAUUGUGCCACGGUUGUUUGGUUAUCAAAGUUGCUUGUGAUUGAAUUAUAUAAACUGUGCUAACCUGCAGAUGAAGGCUAAUGCGAGGUAAGUCUUCUUGAUGUCGUGGCUAGGCCACUCUAGGGCGUAUUUACUUUCUAAUAGGGGUUUAGGAGGGGUGAACUUGCUGAGACAAAGUCUCAUCCCGGUUUGGGGAAAAUAUUACAGGGCCGUAGAUGGUGGCACCCUCGGAGAAGAGUGGCAUGCCGAUGGAGGUUCACCAGACGACGCAGAGUGCUCCUGACCUUGGAAGUCCUUGGUAUAUCAGUUGGUUAGGUCUAUUGUCUGGGUCCAGGUGACCGUGGAUGUCAGAGUACCUUAUAUGUUUAGGGCUUGGUUUCAUUCUGGGGCCGAUGGCGUUAAGGUUGACCCAUUGGAUAGCAUGGACAUUCCGUUGAUUGUGAUGGACGCCAAUUUGGGUGAAGGCGUGGCGGAUCUUCCUAGCGGUGGAGUGAUCAACGCAUCACCUCCAGUCUCUUGGGUGUUAGAACCUGAGGAUGUGGGAUCGAUGAACGAGUCCAACUAGUAGUCAUAGGACUGUUCUCUCUUUUUGUGGACCGAUCCCUAGUGUGCAAACUGACCCUUUUUGAUGUACAUAGCCUCUGACCCAUUUUGGUUGUAUGUAAACCCUAAUUGACUAUACGAAAGUAUGUUGGUUUGUAUUUGAAUUGUUUUUCUUCCUGCUGUCCUAUCCCGUAAUUUAAUUAUCAGGGGUUUCUUAAUAUGUUCCGCAUGCGCAUAAUAAAAUAAAUGGGGUCGGCGACACUACCUAGGAAUGUCGCAUUUAUACGACCAUGGUGGAUUGUUCACGUGUCUCGGGGCUCAGGGCGUGACACUGUAUCUUGCCCAAACUACUUCGGAUCCAAAAUACUAAACACUUGCUCACUUAAAAUUCUAAAGGUCUUCAACACAAAAUCUGCGAAGCUAAACUGGCGAUUCUGAGCGGUCUCUAAACUGUCUCUGGUAAUUGCGACUGAAUCACUGAUUUCUGAACAAACUCUGGACUUGCGAUUUUCUGAUUUUGGAUCUCAUCUCAACCGAUUGAAAUCCUGUACACUCUGCUCUGCACUGAUUAAAAAGAAACUAUCUGACUGAUUUGCUAAAACUGGGAACCUCUGGUCAAGAUCUGAUAUAACUCUGACACUGAUCUUGGCCUGUGAUCUUUCUUUCCUUGACUUCAUCUCGGCAAUUGAAAUUCUGCACUCUCUGCUAUGCACUGCUUAAGAAAGAACCAUCUGAAAGCUCUGCAAACUUGGAACAUCUGAUCUAGAUUUGAAAUACAAUUCAUCCCCGGCACUCCAUGUAGAUGAUUUAUAUGAUAUACACACACUUUGGUAUACCUAUUCUAAUCGAGAUCUUUUCGUGCUGCACUAAAGUGAGUUGACUUUGAUCAUUUGUCGACCACAACCCCAUAAGGAAUCAAUACUCUUCCCGACUCCUUAAUAAGCUUGUUAUAACAUUCCAUUAUGCUAUACUUCCAUUCCCACACAAGACUCUCUCAAGUACUUGAAAAAGCUUUCCUGGCUUACAUUACCAAAUUCUCACUUACUGAUACAUCCAACACUUACAACUUGUUCGGCGAUAUCUAUCUUCAUACUGAUUUACCAAUUCCAAUGAUGUAGAUUCUAACUCAUCUUUGUACUGUUUGGACAACGCUGAAGUUGCUAUGAUGAGCUUCCCAUAAGAUCUUUUCUUUAAUCUUUGCAUCAUCAAUUACACACAAUCAUCCUCGGAACCUUAACAUCCUAUCUUCAGAAAUCUGAAAAUCAAUCUCUCUCUCUCAUCUGUAUUCUCUUAUAGAAUCUUAUGAAUUUCUGAAUCUGUCUAUUGAAGCGUUCUGAUUUUGAUAUGAACUUUCGGCUCAAUUCUGAGGGUGAUCAUAAAAUUCAAAAGGUGGCCUACCUUAGAUUUGAAAGCUGAAUUUCGAAUUUUCUCAAAUAAAGUCCAAUCCUUGAGUACCAACUGUGCAACUAAAGACUCUUGACUUAGUGCAUCUGUAACUUUGCUCACCUUUCCAGAGUGAUACGAAAUAUUAUAGUCAUAAUCCUUAAAGAGUUCCAUCCAGCGACGCUGUCUCAUUUUCAACUCCUUAUGAGAGAAUAUGUCAUUGAGACUUUGAUGGUCAAUGAAGAUAUGGAAUAUUUCUCUAUACCAAUAGUGCCUCUAAAUUUCCAAAACGAACAUAACUACUGCAAGUUCUAUAACGUGUGUCGGGUAAUUCAACUCACAAGAUCUCAACUGAUGGGACGCGUAUGCAAUAACCUUAUCAUGCUGCAUCAACAAGCAACCCAAUCUUUUAAACGAUGCAUCACUGUAGAUCUCAUAACUUCCAAGACCAGAUGGAAUAGUCAGCACGGGUGCGGUAGUCAGCUUUUGCUUAAGCUCUUGAAAACUACACUCGCACUUACCUGUCCACACGAACUUUUCUUCCUUCUUCAGAAUUCUUGUCAACGACGAUGCUAACAUUGAAAACCUUUCUACAAACCUCUGUAAUACCCUGCUAAACCCAAAAAACUUCUGAUCUCCAUCACUGCAGUCAAUCUCGGCCAACUGAUCACUGCCUCAAUCUUAGACGGGGUCUACGGAGAUUCAUUCUCCAGAAAUCACGUGACCUAAGAACGCAAUACGAGUCAUCCAAAACUCGCAUCUGCUAAGCUUAUUGUAAAAUCCAAAAGCACUCAAGGUCUGAAGUACCAUCGCCAAAUGUCUCUCGUGCUCCUUAGCACUCUUUGAACAUACUAGGAUAACUUCAAUGAACACGAUCACAACUGAUUCAAGUACCCUUAAACAUUCUACUUAUUAGACCUAAACAAAUAGCUAUGGUGUCCAUCAAACCAUACGGUAUUACAGUGAACUCAUAACUGCUGUAUCAAGUGUGAGAUGCUAACUUCGGUAUGUCUUUCUUCAUGAUCCUCAACUGAUGAUAACCUAACCUCAAGUCGAUCUUGAAGAAUAUCAAUGUACAAACGCAACUAACCAAUUUUCUUCUUCACUAAUAGAACGGGUGUUCCCCAAGGUGAUGCACUAGAACGUAUGAAUCUACUAUUCCACAAUUCCUGCAUCUGCACCUUCAUUUCUUUUAACUCGGGUAACACCAUCCGGUAAGGAGCCUUAGGGACUAGCUCUGAUUCGGGUGCUAAUUCAAUCACGCACUAUAUUUCUCUUUCUGAUAGCAAACCUAGCAAUUCUUCAAAAAAUACCUCAGAAAACUUCUGUACCAUGAUUAUGUUCUCCAUAUUCGGCUCCUCAACUGACGCAUCCAUCAUAGUUGCCAAGUAGAUUCGGUAACCAACAACUAGAACCAAGUCAUCUUCAGCGAUGAAUAACAAGGAUUGAAGUUCCUCUUCGACUUUCAGUGAUUCAAAACUUUUGCACAUUAAUGGAACAAGCUGAAUUACAUCACUGCCACAGUUCAAAACAACAUAAAACUCCUUAAGCCAAACCUUUUUAUAAAUGACUUCCAAGUCAUACUUAAGCAAACCCUUCAAGUACAACUAUAGUCAGAGAUUCAUCUUUCUAUCACUUUAUUACCACAACGAAGAUCCUACAACCUUCACUGAAAAUUCUGCUGCAUUACUCUAAUAAAAAUAUCUCAAAAACAUUCUUCUUCUGAUUGAUGCAUGGUCGAUCCCUUCAUGCUCCUCUAGCCAUCCUAGUGGUGUCCUAUCUACAGUAACAGUGCUUACACUUUCCUGAACUUACACGAACAGUUACUAACCUGACGGCCGUGCUAGCCAUAUUCAAAUCAUGCUCCCUUUUUACUCUGACACUAGGCUAACUCAAGCCUCCUUUCCACAAACUCGGCACACAAUCGGUGAGUCCUCUACCUCCCAGCAAGGAACAUCAUGCACCCUUCUUGGCACUGAGGCUCAUUCUAAGUACCCCACUAAAUGUCCUGAAGCAUGUUUCCUCUGUUCUGUCUUAUCAACGGCGGUGACAGAAAGAGUUGUGAUUCCAUCUGCCUAUACGGGCAAUCUUUGAUCAAAUGACCUUACUGGCGACACUUGUAACAAGUCCUUUCCCUCUUACAAUACGGAACUGAUCCGUGUCUUUUCUUACAGACACGACCUACAUCUAUCGAGUUGAACUAUGACUUUCCAAUUCUACUAUUCCAAUUGGGUGAAACAGGGCACUUUUCUUCUAACAUCGGCCUUUCUCCCCAAUCGAUUUCCAUCUCUGUCUAAACCGAACCUUGACUCAAAUACGGUGGCUUGAUCCUCGAUCACAACUUCAUAUUGGGCCUCAACAGGCGUGGCGAUAACAACAGUCACAACACUGGCAGUGGUAGAAACAACGGCAACAGCAACGGCUCGGUCCUGAGCUUACUAACCCAAAAUGCUUCCCAAAGACUCUAGCGCCUAAACAAUCCCGUCGAACCUAGGAUCAUUCGGUGCUGCUACACUCUCAGUACCGACUUGCAGUGGUACUCUCACACUUGCGCUGGUCUAAGCCUGCGCUCUACCUCGGGUACCAACUCUUGUCAGCGUCCUACCCCAAGAUAUAGGUCCUACUGACCUCCUUCAAGGAGUUCUCCACUCCCGGUCACUCAUCCUACAGGCUCUUUAUAGACGCCUGUUUUCCAAUUCCCACAUCAGGUUAGAAUUUGAGUGACCCCAUAAACACACUACCAAACAGCUAUCAACCACACGCAUAAGCAUAUUAAAAGCUUUUCCUACUAACUAUCCCAUGACUCAUCGCACCUUAUCACUUCAUACUCAAACCAUGCUCUGAGACCACUUAAACGGGGAUGUCACGCCUAGAACCUUGAGUGCGCCAACAUCUCAUCAUGGUCAUGCAAAUGCGACAUUCUCAGGUAGUGUCACUGACCCCAUUCAUUUAUUAUUGCACAAGUGGAACGUAUUAUAAAACUCCUAACAAUGAAAUACCUGAUAGAAAAGUAGGAAGCAAAACCACAGCAUAACACUUUUAUAAUUCAACAAAAUUACAAACAGAGGUCUACGACCAAAAGUCUACAAAAGACCGGCUCUUAAAAGGAAUUGUCUUACGACCUACAAGUCGGACACGCUCUCCAAUCCUUAUGACUUCACCUCUGCAACUCCUCAAGGCCAACCAAAGUUAUUUGCCCGCUCUGUCCACUAGGGACCUGAAAUUGUAAUCCCCCAACCGGGAUGAGACAAUGCCUCAGCAAGUUUAACCCCCUAAACCCCUAUUAGAAAGUAAAUAAGCCCCAGAUUGGCCUAGCCACAACAUCAAGAAGACUUACCUCGCAUUAGUCCUCAUCUGCAGGUUAGCACAAUUUAUAUAAUUCAACCACGUGCAAUUAUGAUAACCAAACAACUGUGGCACAAUCACAUUAUUAGAACAAUUCAACCACUUGGAUCGUCUUAGCGAUCGAUUGACUCGACCGAUUACAUGUCAUUCUACCGAAUCAAUCGUUGCUUCCAAUCACGACCCUAUAGGAAGGUUUAACAACCAGUGGCAAUCACAGCCCCACUUGGCACGACCUUUAAUUAGGUGGUAGAUCUCGGCCCAAUGGGCACGGCCUCUAAUAGGUGGUCAAUCACGACCCCACUGGACAUAACCUUUAAUAGGUGGUCAAUCACGGCCCUAUUGGGCACGACCUCUAAUAGGUGGUCAAUCACGGCCCUAUUGGGCACAACCUCUAAUCAUGGCUCUACUGGGCAUGACCUCUAAUAGGUGAUCAAUCACGGCUCCACUGGGCACAACCUUUAAUAGGUGGUCAAAUACGGUCAUUCUUCCAUCAAAUUUUUGACACUAGGGAUUUUAUAGAAAGAAUCUCUAUUUAUCACAAUCACACUCAAUUUGUCACAAUCAAUCAUCAAAUUCAAAUUCUAAAUACACAUCAGCAAUCGGCACGAAAUUCUGAGUAAUCGGGGUCAAAAAUAAUUUUUCAGUUUUUUAUAUAAAUAAUAUUAUUUUAAUAAUUUCGUAAUAUAAUAUAUUAUUAAAAAUUCAAGAAUUUCGAAACAUUUAAGUAAAUAAAAAAUAAAACCCUAUUAUGUCCCAUCAAGGUUUAUUAUUAAAUAAACUCAGCCUUUAAUUAAACAUGCUUUAAAUUAAACAAACAUCUUAAUCUAAAUCAUAAUUAAAUAAACUAAACUAACCACCUAAGCUUACUUAACUCGGACUAAGCACACUUAGGGCAUUAUUAACCGUCUAAUCAAGAUUUAGUGAGCUAAACUUACUCGAUUAAUGAACCAAGCGGACCAAAACGAUGGGGAUGCCGAGGGGAACAACUUUUCUCAAAGUGGGCCAAGCAUCCAGGGUUAGGAAGACUGCCAAAACGGGCCAAACGCCCACUGCCAUACCCAUUUUUCUUCUCAUUGAUGGCUGCUAAUUGGGGGCGGAUUCGGCGCCGGUUGAGGCAAGCAAGGGUCGAGAGGGGCUGAGGGAGUCCUAGCGGGCUAAGGCGGGGGUGCACGGCGGCUCAUGGCAGUGGAGACGAGCUCCGGCAAAUUUUGGAUCGCACGAACCGAGGCUGAGACGCAGCUGGGCGUCGGCCAAGCGCGGGUGAGUGUGGGCAGCGGCGAAGCGCGAGACGGCGAGCGGCGACGGGCGGACGCGUGUGGCUGCUCCGACGUCUUCUUAGGUCUGCUAGGACGUCGAGCAGCAGCUGGAGAUGGAGGAGAGAGGGAGGCGGUGGCGUGGGUCGUGGCGUGAGCGGACGACGAGCAGCUUGGCGGCGCAAACGGUGGCUUGAGGCGACGAUGGAUGCUCCGGGCAGCUUGCUGGCGACGUGUAGCUCUUCUCUAGUUCGCUGGUUUGUUGGGCUUUCGAAGAAGAAGAAGAUGAAGAUGGAGAGAGGAGGAAACGGUCGCACGGUAGGGAGAGGGAGGAGAGAGGCAACCGAAGAGAGAGAGGGAGGAGAGAGAAGGAAGAGGGGACGACUUUUCUCUCUCUCAUGGCCCACCAUGACCUCAUGGAUGAUGUCACACUCCACUAUCUCCCACAACCUUAUUCCAAUGGUUGCAAUUCCAUUUUCCACCGGGGCAUAAAAUCUUGUACAACAAAUUCUUUAAUUCCACUUGAUUCUCUUCCAAUUGAAUCAAAUUGAAGACCAUAAAAUUAAUCCGAUGUCACUACACUUCAAUUCACAUCUUUACUUGUCCAUAGAACCAACUUAAGUCCCAAAAGCACAACCAAGGGCGGGCCUACUAAUUUUCCGAACCAAAUUAACCAUAAUUUGAUUUAAUUGCUGAAAAAUUCUGAUUACAUGAAAAAUCUUCCGAAGAUGAGUCAAUGAUCCUAAAAUGAUUUGUGCCACACCAGGACUUCCAAUUUAUGAAUUCGAUCUCAAUUUCACGGUUAAUUUCACUUCGGCACGAUACUAGCGCGUCCUGAUUUACUAGGUAGCUUUUAGAAAUUUUCAUGCAUUUGACCUAUGGUUGAUCAAUUCAAGCCACAAUGUACAUCUUUGACACAUUUGCGACUUUCGGUUGUUGAGAUAAUCUCAAGGUUUCAAAUAUGGACAUAGGGUACCCAAUCAACAGAAAAGUCGGUCCAGUGUCGAUUGACAAAAUUGUGCGAUCCAGUGGAAUCACCCACACUCGAUCAUAUGCCUCUAUCGAGUCGACCUAUCUUCGAUCUCUAAUCGAUUUUUAUUUGUGCUGUAAUGACCCUUGUAGAUUAGCUCGGUCGAAAGGUCGCUUCCUGUUCAAAUUCUCGAGUCUGAUGCAUUAGAAUCUCUUAACGGCUUCACUUGAUAGACUAGUUUUCACAUGAGUGGCCGACUCAAGGAAAAGAACUAUAUGCGUGUCAACGAAAUGUCCGCCUCAAUUUAUUGAAAAUAGAAUUGGAAAAUUGGGAUGUCACACGUCAGCGGAGCAUGGUGCUUCUUCAGAUCUAUCAACAGGUUCGCCUUGUACGUCUCCGUCGGCUUUGUCCACCAUUAAAACACGCAUCAGCAACAAAAGCAGACUCAACGCAAACAAGGCAAGAUGAAAUCGCCACAGAAAAAAAACGUUGCACGUUACCCGAAAGCAAGUCCACCUCCACUCGGUGCCAUCACCCCUGGUGACCUUCGAAGGCUCCACGCCCCAGUAAAAUGUUGUGGAUGGUGGAAAUAGAGUGUGGAUUUCUGAAGAUGGUGUAGGUUGACUUAUGAUAUCUUGUCCUAGUCUUAUGAUUGUCAUUAUACAAAUAUAUGAAAAAAAAAAGCAAUAAAUUUUCAUUAUACAGUGAAAUUUAAAUUCCAAUCCCUUGGUCGUGAUUUAUUUAUUUGUGUCAAAAGGCACUAAUGAGUUGAGUCAAGAGGAUCUGCUUACCAAGUGAGGCAAUGCUAAAUUACUUAAUGUUUCUGCUCUUAGCUGGGGGAUCUGGUGCAAUCAAUUAGUAUCUCUGGAUUGAACCAAUCAACCAUUGAAUUAGUUUCUCCAUGUGCUUGGUGGCUGGCAAAUCAUUGCUAGAUAGGCAUAUGAAUUAGUUUGUUAAGUUGGGAUUUUGUAACUCUUUGGCAUGGUUGAUGAGCUCUAGUGGUGGCAAAUUUUAUUUAUUUAUUUUGGGGGGGGGGGGGGAUGUUGAAGUGGUGGCAAAAGUUUAAAAACUGAUGAAGCUGCUAUCUGUUAAGGCUGAUUUUAUUUGGUCUCAGGUUGUAGAGAAGUUUUCUGUUAAACUUAUUUGUUGGGGUUCCCCUACUUGUGUUAACUUGAUAAACCUAACCAAAUUGAUAGUAUUUGUUAAGGAAAUAAUUUUGUCAUCAACAGUAAGACUAUGAUCCCUCUUUCUCGCACCUAAUGAAAAUUGUCAUAGCUAAUGAAUUUUCUAUGUAAUUGCAGCUUGCAUUUUUCCUUUAUGUUUUUCUGUAAUGGAAAUAAUUUUCUAGCUUGAUGUUAGCAAUUAAAUGAAACUCACUACUUAGCUUCUUAGCUGUUAUUGCUUUAGAGCCAUAUCUCUUAAAUGAACUAAGUUCAUGGUUUGGUUUGACUUUAAACCUUAUUAAAUUGAUUUUGGUGAAAUUUCUAACUGAAAUUCGUUGUUUUUUGUUUUUAAUUUAAAGUAUACUCCAAACAGACCCACGAACCAUAAACAUCCUUGUUAACAGGAAAUGCGAUAUUCUAUUUUUUCUUUUUUUUAAGUACAGUUGAAACAAAUUGAUAUUAAUGCAGUUCAACUCUAUUUUUAGUGCCCGCUUUUUCUUGCUUACUCAUGAGUGUUUGCGUUUUGCUCUUUUAUCUGGAAUGGAAGACAUUGAAAGGACCAGAAGGAAAAAAAAAAGAAAAAAAAAAGAACCUGCUCGCAAUGAUUCUAUUAUCUGGCUAACUACAACGGAAUGGAAGGAAAUUCAUUUACUUACUGGUGGACCCAAAGAAGGUAUCUCCAAAGUCAGAGGUAAAUGGAUGGAAGUUGACUUGUGUCUGAUACAUAUAAAUAUAAUCACAAGAGCAUACUUAGUGAAAGUGGUAAGCAAGAAGCAAGAGAAAGAAAAAGGCCACUCAAGUCUAUCACUCAAUUUUAUUUUCCCCCGCACAGUUUUCUCCAUUAUGCAUCUAAACAAGGGAAGGAAUUACAGAUUUUGUCCAGUGUCUACGUUUUACCUUCCUAUAUUUAAUUUUUUCCCCACAAUACUUGACUUUCGCCGCAUUAUUGCUUUUCUGCGUACCUCGCCGCUUUUUUCUUAUGCUUCAUAUCCAAUUAUCAGGGUUCUCGCUAGUAUUUGCUCAUGGAGAAUUGGAUCAGUUGCUCUUCAGGGAUGGGUAUAUGAUGCAAUUGAAUCACAGGGCCAUGGCAAACAUUUGCUGAACGCCUAAAAUGUUCUGAGGAGCAGCAGAUGACCACCCAAGAUUUGAUACGGAUACUACCUAAAUAUUCAUCGAACCAUCUGUGUUUGGAUCUUGACAUCCACAAUUCUCCGUAGUUCACUUGUGUGCGUAGCUCCGUGAUGGAACAUCCCAUCAAAAGUUGGAUGUUCAGCCGAUUUUGAUCAGCACAACUGACAUCCAGGUUGCCAUAAAAAUGAGAAGACUGCAGGCUGCUAUGUAACUAGUCCAGAUUACUUCCAGGUGAUGGAAGUGAGGAGCUUCUUGCCUCCCUUGUUUCUGUCUCUUUUCCAGUAUCCUUUAUUAGAGGAGAAAAAGAGGUUUGCUGGAUAUGUUUUCUGUAUUUUCCUCCACUGUGCAGACACAAUAUCUGCUUCUGCGAGCAUUGUGGCAAGGGUUUUAUCCAGCGUUCAUUCUGGACGUGCAUCAAGUUUGUCCCUGUACAUCGCUCUUGUUUUCCCGACUCGGUUGCGACUCUGGUUUGGUGACUCGGAGGUUGUAUUUUCCCUGUUGUUUCCAACUAGUGCCGCUUCUCGGCUGCCUGGUAGUCAUGUAUUACCUUAGGCACUUCUCAACCCCUUGUUAGAAGGGGCGAGUGGAUUUAAUUCGAUACCUUGAAAGGUUUCAUAUUUAAGAGACCAAGCAGCGACUCUGCCAUAACUCGGAUGCGACGAACGGCGACAUUCCCAAAUGGGUCUCCCCCCUUUGUAGUGGUUUUGUUAAGGUAGGGGCGGGCCGGGCGUUCAGCUUUCUGACUAGAAAUGAUGCUUGAAUUAGAGCGGCUGACUGUCGAACGGCUGGUCUUGGCCCCUCCCCCUUUGAUAAAAGUCUUAAUCUAAGUAGCACCGAUAUCGUCACGUGAGAUAUGAUAUGUUGUGACAUGAGAUAUGAUAUGUUAGACGUGCCGUUUCUUAAAAAAUAGAAAAUUUGGAUACAUUGGUAUACAACUAUUAUAUAUUGUUGUGUAUGUAUAUAUGAUAAAUUAUCAUUUUUAUGUUAUUUUAAUUAAAUUAAUUUGAUUUAAAUUCACAAAUAAAUAAAUAAUAAAAAAGAGCCUAGAAUGAAUUUACACUUAAAUAUUAAUCUGCUAUUUGUUAAUAUUAUUCAUUAUUUCAAUUUGACAAAUUCAAUUUCAUUUCAAUAAUUUAUAAAACUUGGAAGAGAAAAACAAGCAAUUUACAUUUGAGAUUUGUAUGUCAGAGUGUGUUGGAAAAGAAGAGGUAAAAAAAAUUGGGGGAAUGAAUUAUGUGUUACGGAAACGAGAGUUGGAAGAGAACAAAAGACUAUUUUUCUUACUUUUUCAUUUAUUAUUUUUAUCUUCUUCUUUUUUUCAAAUUUACAUUUUGAUACUUCAUUUAUUGAAAAUUUUUAAAAUUGAUCCCAUAUGCCUCGGUAUUACGUGUUGGAAUUCUGGAAUUGUAUGUUGAAAUUUCAAACUCGAGUAUCGGGAGAGUUGAUCAGAUAUCAAAUUUUCUUAUAUGUAUUGAUCGAGUGUUGAACAUAUCGAAGUGUUUAAUAUAAUACAAAGACUUUUGGAAAGUGCCAAUACUUCAUAUGUCUUAAAUUAUUGCUCAUGGAGUUGGUUGAAUCAAUAAUAUCGACGAGAUCGUUAUUUAGAGCCAAGUUCACUCUUGUGAUUUGCCACUGGCCGCCCUCGUAUACGCCUGUGGAAUCUAAUUGAUCAUAUGGAAUUAAUCAGGGUCGGUGAAAGAUUACACGAGCAAAAUCAAAUGAUGGGCUCAUCGGCCACUCUUUCUAGUGGAUGAACGUAUGGUUUGAGAUAGGUUGCUUUUGUUUAUGUCAGCAAGCGGGCAACGUCGGCAUCGUUACGGACUGAUGGGGCCGCACACUGAUGUGUCUUUUUUUGGCUCGUAUCGAAAGGAGCAUCACUUUAAUAGAGAAUCGAUUUAGUAUAUGAUGUAUUGCACGUCCAACCAAUGCACGAAAUCAUCCAUGACUAUGACUCUCGUCUAAAAUAAUAAUCACGAGAUUCCCACAGUACAGAGAGGCGAUAUGGUUGGUUUGUGAGCACUUUAUUGUCCAAAAGCGAUUGUCCCAUUUCCUCUAAUCAAAGAAAUGCAUGAAAAAUUGGAGAAUGAAUGGUCUCACGGCACAUUUGUAACUUUAAGAUGUUUCGUCAUAUUAGGUAUAACAUUCGAGUGAUUGUUUUGCUUUUGUCCCUACGGUGUUUUUGUUGUGUUUUUGUCCCUAUGGUGUUUUAUUAUAUCUAUUAUAGAUGUGAUGCAUAGAACUGCCCAAUGCCAAAUGGGCAAAGCAAUUGCAUGGAUGAAGGACGACUUUUGUAGGUCCAGCUAUAGUCCCAAGUGGUUCGGAAUCUCUCUCUUACUCACAUAUUUGAAUUCUUUUGAUCGUUUCUCAAUUGCAAGAAUUCUUUUUUCCGAAUAAUUCCUAUGCUAUAGUCUCAAGUGGUUCGGAAUCUCUCUCUUACUCACAGAUUUGAAUUCUCCGAUCGUUUCUCAAUUGCAAGAAAUCUUUUUUCCGAAUACUUCCUACUUUACUCCAACUUGCAUUCACGCUAGUGGUAACAUGUUCCUUCUAAAAUAAGGGGUAAUGCCGAAUCAAAUUGAAAAGACUUUUUUUUAUUAUGAGAAUUUUGAUAGGACCAUUGAGUUUUUAGAAUAAUUAGUAAUUGUAUUAUAAAUUUUCACUUAAUUUUAGAGUUACAGAUUUUGAGUUCAAAUCUUAAGCAAAUAUAUAUAUUAAAUAUGAGGAAGAAUAUUAAAAUAUUUAAAUAUCAAAUUGCCUCUUUCAAGAAAUCUCAUAUAUAAAAAAUUAGAUUAAUUAUGAGGAAAAAUAUUAAAAUAAUUAAAUUAAAUAUCAAAUUACGUUAUUUAUUUAGUUUUAGUCGUUCCAACAAAUCUAAUAUAUCUCAAAUGAGCAACUUCCAAUUGGGAGUCAGAAUGAAGCCCCGCAAUGGGUGCUUGGAAUUGUGGGUUCCACGAGGACACGUGUCGCGUUUUCACCGUCUUUUUAUUUGACACGCUAGAGCAUGAGACGUACUUAAUAUGUUCUCCUACAUGAGACCUGUGACGACGAAAUGGGCAAGUCCCAGUCCCACCACCAACUCAAUCCCCGCCACGUGUCCACCUCUCACCUCCCCUCCAUCUCCUCCAUCAUUCGAGCCCCUCACUUUUCACUCUCUCUCUCUCCCCUCAAAAAGGAAAAAUACAGGACGAAAAGAAGAGAGAGACGGAGGAACCUCUCUCUCUCCAUUUCCGCCCCCUAGAAAAAGCAAAGCCAGUUGCUACUGCUGCUGCACGCGAUUCGCAGCAAAAGGCAACUCAAGUCAAGUCACGUCCCCGCACCUCCCCCACGAUUUUCUCUUUCUCAUUUUAAUUUAUACGUUUCCUUUUAUUGCCAAUCUUUAUUUAUUUAUUUAUUAAAUUUCUUUAAAUACUCACUCCCCCGGUGGCGGACAAAAUGGAGGACCUGCUACUGCUCAGUCGCACUAGCACCAUCGUCGUCCCAGUACGUGCAGCAUCUUCUUCAUCGUCGCUCCCGCCCCGUCGUCGCUCUCGCCUUCACGCGCCUCCAUCGGGAGCCGCGUCGCUCGGCCGCUCGCGCUCCUUAAAGCGUCCUCUCCGUCCUCCGCCCGAUCGCCUCUUCUCCGCCGCCGCCGCCGCAGCAGCAGCUCCGUCGUCGUCGUCUCCGUUCAGGUCCGUCCGUCCGUCCGUCCGCCUUCGCCUGCUCUCCGGUGCGUCGUCCGAUCGUGCAGGUUCUUUUCGGCGACCGAUUUUGGUUUCUGCACGGCGAGUUCACGUCACCGGAGGGGAAAAGUGGAGUCGCGCGUCUUUCGUCGGGCAUUUUGAGGUCCGUACUGGAGCGAGUGAUCGAGGUCGCGAUUCUCGUUGUGGCGCGCUUUUGAUUGCUUGCGAGAGAGAAUGCGUGAAGUCGAGAGGAUUGCAUGGAUGCGCUGUGCUGUGCUGCCUUUUCGGAGCAUCGACGCUUCGUUUCUUAAUCUGAAGUUGCGAUGAGAUUAGACGAGUAAUUGGACCGUGACAUGAAAAUCUCCCCGCGAUCACGACCGUGUGUUCGAAAUUCGAGUUAUGGCGAGAUGAAUCUGCGUGUAAUUGGAGUCACGGGGGUAGGACCGUUGAUGAAAGUAGGUACAUGCGCGAAGUCCACGAGCUGGAUUGCUGUUGUAUUGGCUUCCUACUGCUUCAAAUUUUUUUCCACGUCAGAUUGGUUGUGCUGCGGCAGAUUUCGAUACGCAACAUGCGCGAUGCUUCUCUGAUGUGGAAGUCCCUGCAUGUCACAAGCUCCCCUGCCUUUGUUAUAUACUUUCAUAUAUAACAUGCAUGAUGUUUCUCUGAUGUGCACACGAGGUUUUAGAUCUUGAUUCUUACACUAUAAUCAGUACUCUUCGAUGGCGUUUAGCAUUUUUGGUUCUUGGCAUUUGGAAAAAUGAUAAAUUGGUGUAAUGCCUGUGCGAAAUUUUUUUUUUUUUUUUUGAUCUAAUACCUGUGCGAAUUUGUGGCAUGCAGAGACGGGUCGAGAUUGAAAACUAAAAUGACUAUUCGAGAAGGUCAGGCGGUUGCUGCGGAUGUCACUGCGGGAGAUAUGAUCUUUGAGCCUAUUUUGGAGGAAGGAGUUUUCCGCUUCGAUUGUUCUGCAAACGACAGAGCCGCGGCAUUUCCUAGCCUUUCUUUUGUCAACGGCAAGGAUAGGGAUACGCCAAUAACAAUUCAUCAUGUCCCAUCUUAUAUCCCGACUUACCAAUGUCUCUUUGGCCAGCAGAUUGUCAAACUUGAGGUCAGUCACUGCAUGCUCUUAUUUCUUUCUCUUAAAUUAUUUGAAUCACUUGUUGGUUUUGUUGUGCUCCCUGGACUGUGACAUUUCCAAUACUUUUAGGAGCUUCAUCUGCUUGAUUUCUGUUUUCCAAGUGUGUAUGUAUUUGUCGAAGCCUUAAUAACGUUAUUUUACAUAUGAUGUAGCUACCUGCUGGGACCAGUUUUUACGGGACUGGCGAAGUCAGUGGACAGCUUGAGCGCACUGGAAAAAGAGUUGGUUCUCUUUCCUUGACUUUGCAUGCUAGCAUAUGUGUUUUCUCUCCUUGAAUUCUCAAUGAUCUCUCUUGUUUUAGGUGUUUACAUGGAACACAGACGCAUGGGGUUAUGGCCCCGGUACUACAUCUUUGUACCAAUCUCAUCCUUGGGUGCUAGCUGUUCUUCCGAGUGGAGAGUCACUGGGGAUUCUUGCUGACACGACACGUCGUUGUGAGGUGUUGUGAACUCAUGACUGUGAUCACAUAUUGGAGUAGUUUCUUGGAAGAUCCGAUUCAAACUUGUUUUAAGCUUACGAGUGAUAUUUUCUCAUGGGCAGAUUGAUCUGAGAAACAAGUCAAUAAUACAGUUCACGGCUCCAUCCUCAUACCCUGUCAUUACAUUCGGUCCAUUUGCUUCACCUGGCGCAGUUUUAACAUCCUUGUCUCAUGCAAGUGGUAAUAAUGCUGUGCAUGUCAGCUUCUUUCCACAUGUGUGCUAUUCUGCUUAAUUCUAUUCUCCCAAUCAUUUUUAAUGUGUGGCCACUUUUCGUAGAUGCUACUCACUAUGUUGGAAAGUGUGUCGAUGAAUGAGCCGACCUCAAAACAAAUUUACCAAAAAUCCCUAAGAACAUGGAAGUCCAUUUUGUUAGCUUACCGGAUACUUCAGUUUAGAAGCAAGGUUUUUGUGCUUCCUAUACUGCAAAUUCUACUGCCUCUUUUAUCUGGUCUUUUUCCUUUUGUGGACAAGUGAUACUUCAAAUUCUUAGAAUCUUUUCUACAGAUGCUCUCUAAACUUUGAGAUCUUGAUUUUGACAUUUGAUGCCAAAACACUCGAGGCAUGUCUAUUGCUUUUUUUGACCAUUUGCUUUUUAUUACAAAUUUAGGCUUCACUUAAUUGGUUUUCCUGAGGAGUAUGCAUGUUAUGCUGUUAAAAUUACAGACACAGAAAAGUUGAAUGUAUUAAUUUUAUCAGGAUAUCUUGCAUAAUUCUUAUUACCAUGAACUCUCUGUUUUUCCAUCUUUAAAUGAAGAAAAAGCUUCAUGCUAAUGAGUGAAGUUGUCAGAAUAAUUUUUUCUGUCAUUCUAUGACUUUUCUUUUCUCUGGAAACAUCCAUCUGUGGAUUUUAAGUUUAGUACUAAAUGGACUUUACAAGACCACCAGAAUGAUUAGACAAUUUUCUUGAUAGUCUGUUUAUUACUAUUAUUGCUUGAAUUAACAACAUACCUUGCAUAUAUUGUCAGGAACCGUGUUUAUGCCACCAAAGUGGUCCUUAGGCUAUCAACAAUGCCGCUGGAGCUAUGACUCUGAUAACAGAGUUAGAGAGGUUGGCCCUUUUGAUGCAUCUUGCUUGAUUCUACAAUCUUUCUUCCUCAACCCUCGUUUCCUUCUACCUGAUUUGAUAACAAUGAUUAACUUUCACUGUAUGCUGUCGGCGUAUCAUUCAUGAGUUGAUGCAUGACAGUUCUUUAGCGCUCUAAUUUUUGUCCACUUAUUGCAGAUCACGAGUACAUUCAGAGAAAAGGAGAUUCCUUGUGAUGUCGUAUGGAUGGAUAUAGAUUAUAUGGAUGGGUUUCGCUGCUUCACUUUUGACAAGGCAUGGACUCCUGUUUUGUUUUAACCCUGUUAUUGCCUUGUUUAAAAAAAAUAUUACAGACUACCUUCCUCUAAAUAGGACUAAUUUCACAUCAUCUACCUCACUUUCAAUAGGUAUGAAGCCACUUGCAACUUAUGUCCGGAUGAAAAUUCUUAGUUUUAGCCAAUUUCAAAAAGACGUCACAUACAUAUCAUGAAAAUUCACUUAAAACAGAGCAUAACUACAUAUCUACAUCAUGAAAGUUCACUUGAAGCGAAGCAUAUAUCAACAUCUACAUGUAAGAUGUGAGAAUUUUGUCCAAUAUGAAUGAAGAUCUGUUUUCAUCUAGAAAUAAUCUUGAGGAAGAUGGUGUUAUUCAUUUUGGAAGUGAGGUAGGUUGUGUGGAAUAUGUUGUCGAUUAAUUCACUUUGUAGGAACUGCAAUGAUCAAUGUUCUUUUGAUAUUCUAAUCUCAACCUUAGGUAUGGUUCUUGAUGCAGAAAUGCCAUGCAUUUCUGUUUUUUCCAUUGCUUCCAUACGUUUAAUCCACCAAGUCCUUUGAGAUUGGUAUUCACUUUAUGUUUGAAUCCUCCUAAGCGCAUUCAUGUCUAGGACUUUUUGCCUCGCUGACUUGUCUAAUAGUAGAAGGACUUACGUUCAAUGCUUAGUCUACAGUAGACACCUCUACUAAAUAAACAGUACUAUUUUCAGCAUGGAAACUGAGACAAAGUAUUUAUUCUCAGGACCGCUUCUCUGAUCCAAAAUCUUUGGUAGAUAGUCUCCACCGAGACGGGUUUAAGGCUAUCUGGAUGCUUGAUCCUGGUAUCAAACGCGAAGAGGGGUAUUUUGUCUUUGACAGUGGUUGCAAAAGUGAUGUCUGGAUGAAAGCAGCAGAUGGGACUCCAUUUGUUGGUACUUUGCUGUCUUUUACUGUGGUUUUGGCUAAUCUUUGUCAUUGUCUAUUUAGUUUUGCUAUUUCCUUUUCGUCUUUUUCUUUUUUGUAGCAUUUGAAAUGUAAAGUAAUCCCUUAGAUCUUUCAAAACAUAUAAUCAAAAUUCUGGAAGGCAGAAAUUGAUCAGACAAUGCUGAUUAACGUAUAUGUAUGUAUAUAAUCAAAAUUCUGGAAGGCAGAAAUUGAUCAGACAAUGCUGAUUAACUGUUUGCUUGUCAGGGGAGGUGUGGCCUGGUCCUUGUGUUUUCCCUGACUUUACACAGUCAAAAGUCCGUCACUGGUGGGCUCAGUUAGUUCAGGAUUUCAUUUCUAAUGGAGUUGAUGGUAUAUGGAAUGAUAUGAAUGAACCGGCUGUCUUUAAGGUAACUAGUACUUUUAGUUUCUGUCAUUUUCUCUUGUUGGACUAUGGCUUACAACUUCUCUUUCAGUCUGUGACGAAGACCAUGCCCGAGAGCAACAUUCAUAGGGGAGAUGAUGAACUUGGAGGUGUCCAGAAUCACUCACACUAUCAUAAUGUAUGUUUUCCAACCUUUUGCUAUUUGUAGUUUGUGUUUCAUCUUUUUGAGUUAUAUAAAAAUAGAUAUUAAGCAAUUUUGUAAUGUAUCCACUGUGCUUGUACUGGAAAAGCAAGGGGGGUUAAGAGUUAAAGAAUGAGUUGUUGAUUUGGGGUGAAGUGCUAAAUGCUUUCUAUUGAAUAUAGUAGGAUAAAAUACGAUAACUUCUGGCUUUCCACAUUUUAGCACAAGCAAUGUCAUGCUUCAACUUUUGGUUAGUUUAUCCGACCUGUACAUUUGGCUUCAUCCAAAAUGAAUGGCGAGGCUAGCAAAAUAAGAUUGUGCCUUGCUUUCCACCUCCUUGUCUGAGGAUCUUCUCUGCCAAAUUUGCAUUGUGUGCUUUGAGAACCUUCUCUCCCAUGACCUAAGUAUUCUCUUCCAUGUGUAAAAUCACAAUCAAACCAUUAGAUUUAAGAAAAUUGAGACUGGGCCAAUGGAAGAAGAGUUAUAUCUUUGUAAAGCAUUAGCAACACCACCAUUGCAAGUGUGAGAUUUUGUGGAACCGCUGCCAAAUAUUCUAAAAGUUUAAGUUGUUAGAUGAAGGCAUGGUUUAAUAUUUAAUUACUCUAACAUCAAGAUUGGGCAAUAGUUUUAUCUUUGAUCAUUUGGUACUUUCAUCAAGUUGAGAGUAUUUUGCUAAUAGGGGUAUAUUUGUCUAUUUACUUUAUUAUUUUAUGUAUGGGGGCAAUAAGGGCAACGUUGUAAUUUUUUACCUUUUGACUUUACUAUAAAUAGAUAGCUUGGGGUCAGAUUGAUCUAACUAAGCAUUCAGUUUAGUUUUUGUCUUUCAACACAUCAUUUAUAAGGGUUGCAUGCCUUGUCCUUCAUAAAACACAUGCAUGAGUGGGUUGAAAUUCCCACACAAAAAUCAGCGGUUCUGUAACUACGGUACCAACGGUGUGAAGAGAUCAGCAAAUAAUCGUAAGCUUUUCAUUCAUCAGUAAGUUUGCUGUCUGAAGGAUAUAAGGACUGAGGAAAAUUAUCAUUUUUGUAGCUUUCAACUUGGAAGGGGGAGGUGGGGGUUCGAACCCCCACUUUCUCGGAGGGUUUGGGUGGGGACGGUUAAGUUUCAGGAGUGGGUUUCGACUCCCACGCCCUGCAAUGAGGUAGGGCAAAAGUAUGAGAGUGAGUGUUAGAGUAGGACCGAUAAAAAAAGAAAAGAAAAAGGAAUAGGCAUAUGUGGCUUGUGAUCGCAUUAAAUAGUAGUCUAGUGAUAUGGAGAUUGAAAUCAAGUGAUUUAUUUGCAAUAAUCUAACAGUGGCAUUAGUUACAAACUUUAACCUUAAACAUGUAAGAUUCGAAAAAGAACCACAGUAUUGGAGAUUAAAAAAUAUAGAGGCUUUGGUUGGACUCAUCUUUAUCAAACAAUAACCUGUGCAGGUUCUGAGAUUGGAUGAAGAACCAAACAGCUAAUCAAUAACUUAUGUGAGGAAAACGUACAUCGUAUGAUUCAAUAAAGUUUAAUAUAUAUACAUCAAAUAAACCCUAAAAGUGGUAAAUACCUUCUUACUUCUAACACUCCCCCUCAAGUUGGAAGUUUAAUAUAUAUACAUCAAAUAAACCCUAGAAGUGGUAAAGACCUAUUUACCAUUCUUACUUCUAACACUCCCCCUCAAGUUAGAGCAUAAAUAUUAAUCAUGCCCAGCUUGUUACAAAUAUGUUAUAUCCUCUCAUUACCUAAGGAUUUAGUGAAGAUGUCUGCAAGUUGUUCACUGGUUUGAAUAUGAUUGGGAAGAAUUACUCCCCUUUGCAACUUUUCUCUUGGAUAAAAUGACGAUCAAUCUCAAUGUGUUUUGUUCUCUCAUGAAACACGAGGUCGGAAGCUAUGUGCAUUGCAACUUUAUUAUCGCACCAUAGAAUCAUGGGUACUAAAUCUUUAAAACCUAACUCAGUCAAUAACUGUCGAAUCCACACUAAUUCACAUGUCACUUGUACCUGGCUCUAUAUUCUGACUCAGCACUGGAGUGGGUAACAACACUUUGUUUCUUACUUUUCCAUGAAACCAGAUUUCCUUUGACUAAGAUACUAUACCCAAUAGUUCAUCUUCUAUCAUUUGGAGAUCCAGCCUAAUCGGCAUCAGAAAAACCUUCAACCCACCAUGGUUUUGGUAGACAAUUUCUUUCCCUAGAGCUUUUUUUAAAUACCUUAAUAUCCGAAUAAUUGCAUCCCGAUGAGACGUACGAGGGGAAGACAGUUUUUGUCUUACUACACUAACAGGAAAAACAAUGUCUGAUCGAGUAACAGUAAGAUAAUUCAACUUACCUACCAGUCUUCCAUGUCUCUUGAGAUUAUUAAGAAUUUCUUAUCCAUCAGCAACUAAUUUAACCCCUUGUUCCAUGGGUGAAUCAAGAGGCUUUGAUCCCAAUAUACCUGUCUCAGUGAGCAAAUCCAAGACAUAUUUUCGUUGUGACAGCGCCACUUCAAUUCCUAGGAAAUAUUUCAAUUUUCCUAAGUCCUUAAUUUGAAACUGUUGUUGAAGAUAGGUUUUUAGCUCAGCUAUACCAACCAAAUCAUCUCCCGAUAUAUCAUCAAUAUACACAAUCAAGAAUAGUUUGCCUCCCCCUGAUUGUUUAUAAAAGAAAGAAUGAUCAUUUCCACAUCUCAAUAGUCCAAAAGAUAGUACAACCUUAGAAAAUCUUCCAAACCAUGCCCGUGGAGAUUGUUUCAAACUAUAUAAAGACUUUUUUAAUUUGCAAACUAGUCCAACCCCCUGAGCAACAGAUCCCGGAGGUUGCUCCAUGUAAACUUCUUCAUGAAGAGUGCCAUGCAAGAAAGCAUUCUUAACAUCAAGAUGAAAUAAAGGCCAGUUAUAUGUUGUAGCAAGAGAGAAAAAAUAUGAACAGAAGUAAGUUUGGUAACAUGAGAAAAUGUGUUUAGAUAGUCAACCCCAUACACUUGAGCAUAUCAUUUGGCAACAAGUCUUGCUUUUAAACGAGCAAGAGAACCAUCAGGGUUGACUUUUACAUCAUAUACCCAUUGACAACCAAUAGCAGUUUUGCUUAGAAGAAGUGGUACUAAGUCCUAAGUUUGAUUAAUCUUGAGAGCCUUUAAUUCUUCUUUCAUUACUGUUCUCCAGCCAAAACUUUGUAAUGCCUUAGCGACAGACUUGGGGACAGGAUAUUGUUCAACAAUAGUUAAAAAAGCUCGAAAAGUAGGAGACACAAAAGAGUGAAAUAAAAUUUGCAAUAGAAUGUUGAGUACAAGUACGUGUACCUUUGCGAUGAGCAAUAGGAAGAUCAAGAUUAGAUACAAGAGGAGGGUCAGUUAAUGGCGGAUCUGGAGCAGAAGAUGACGUAGUAGCGAUGGGAAGAGCGGGGGGAGCAGUAGUAGUGACAUGAGGACGUCGAGUAUAAACCUGGAGAGGAAGUGGUUUUUCUGUAGAUACUGGUGAUACAAUUGGAAUAGUAGAUCGAAUGGUGGUCAUAUACAAGUCUUCAUCCAAUUUAGACACAUCGAUGGGAACAUUAUGAUAAUGAGUGGAUUCAAAAAAUGAAACAUCAGCUGUUAUAAAAUAUUUUCUCAGUAAUGGAGAAUAAUAACGAUAUCCUUUUUGAGUGCGGGAAUAACCCAUAAACAUACACUUGAUUGCCUUGGGAUCAAGUUUUAAUACUCCAGGUCGAUGAUCACAAACAAAACAGACAUAACCAAAGAUACAAGGUGGUAGGACAAACAGUGGUUCGUUAGGAAACAAAGUGGAAAAAUGAAUACCACCUUGCAUAAUAGAAGAAGGCAUGCGAUUAAUGAGAUAACAUGCAGUUAGAACAACAUCAGACCAAAAAGUUUUUGGGAUCUUCAUCUCAAAUAACAUGGAUCUAGUAAUUUCCAAUAAAUGCCUAUUCAUCCUUUCAGUAACACUAUUCUAUUGUGGAGUAUUAGGACAGGAAGAUUCAUGGAUCAAUAGCAUGUUGAGUCAUAAAAUCAGAAAAAGAUGUGGAAAAGUACUCCUUAGCAUUAUCAGAACGCGGAACUUUAACACGCAUGCCAAAUUGAGUAUAAAUUUAAGAUAUAAAUGCACGAAAAAUAGAAAAUAAUCUUUCAUUAAAUAUAACCAAGUAACUUUGAAAUAGUUAUCGACAAAAGUAACAAAAUAUCUAAAACCUGAAUUAGAAACCACAUGACAUGGACCCCAAAUAUCUGAAUGAACUAAUAAAAAUGGAGAUGCUGCUUGUUUAAUUACUCGAGUGUAACUAACAUGAUGUAAAUUGCCAACUUGGCAUGACUCGCACUCUAGACUAGAAAGAGAUUGAAAACUAGAAUCCAACUUUUGAAGACUACUUAGAGAAGGAUGACCAAGACGACAAUGGAUUUGAUGUGGGGACGCAACACUUGAGCAAGCAAUUGAAGAAGCAUCUUCAAGUACAUACAGCCCCCUUCCUCACAUCCUCUACCAAUCGUCUUCUUCAUAGUCAGAUCCUGAAAAAUACAAGAAUCAUGAUUAAAAGUUACUGAACACUGAAAGUUUUUGGUUAACUUACUAACAGAGACAUGAGGUUAAAUGGAAAUUGUGGAAGAUAAAGCACUGAGGACAACGGCAAUGAAGGAGUUGGGUUAAUUGUGCCAAUUCCCUUAACAUGUGUAGGUGAUUCAUUGGCUAGAGUAACUAUGGAUGAAGAUUGAGAAAGAGAGGAAAAUAUACCUGAAAGACCUGACAUGAUCAGAAGCCCGUGAAUCAAUGAUCCAAGGACGAGAAGUAGCUGAAAGGCAUGCAAUAACAUUACCUGUCUAUGCCAAAGUAGCAGUGGAAGAAACAGGCUGUGAGAUUUGAGAUUGUUUGUAUCGAGCAUAUUCCUCACCAGACAUAACCACUAACUUGUCUUCAGAUGACUAUGGAGUAGAGUUAAUAUUAGACGUCGUAUUAGCGAACUGGUGCUGCUGCCCUGGUCUCCCAUAUAGCUUGUAGCAAAAUUUUUGAAUAUGAUUAGGUUUGCCACAAUAAUGACAAAUUCGUGUAGUUCCCGAAUUAUCAGUAGAUAUGUGGAAUUGUCCAUAAGGAUGCUGAUGACCUUAACCUCUCCCUAUUCCUAUGCCUCGGCCUCCUCGAACACCAUACCCACUAUAUCCACUACGGUUUCCUCCACAACUCCUAUUACCACUACUAGUUCGAGUCUGGGACACGAGCUAAACUCCCCACUAUAGAUGUAGUAUCCUGAGAAGAUUCACGAGAUACUCGAAGAACUCGAGCAAAUGUAUCUGUGAGUGACACUAUAUUCUCUCCUCCAAGAAUUUGAGACCUAACAGUUUUAUAUUUAGAACCAAGACUUCCUAAGAAUCCCAUUACAGCUAAUUGUUCCCUCUGACGUUGCAUUUGUUGAACAUUGGCUGAAGUAGGGAGAACGACACUCAACUCCUCAUACAAUCUCUUAAAAUCUGCAAAGAACUGGGUAAUAGAGCGUCCCUUCCUUUCAAAUUGAUAAAACUCCUGCGAUAGCUCAUAAAUCCGUGACAAAUUAUCUUGGCUAGAAUACAACACAUUCAAAUACUCCCAUAGUUCUCUAACUGUAUCAAUAUGAGUUACCAUGUCAACUACAUUACUCUUUAUAGAAUUCAGCAUUUGACCAAGAAUACGUGUCAACACCAUCCCAAGUUACAUCAUCUCUGGGCUUAAACUCAGUUAAGUGUCUAUGUUGAUUCUUGCCAGUCAAAGUAAGUUUCACGAUUUUCUUCCAUUGGUGGAAGUUAGCACUAUCUGUGAGCUUCUUAUCAGUACUUUGAUUAGACGAAAAAAAAAUCACCUCAGUCAUCACAGUAUUAUUCUUCUCAGGAUCUACUUCAAUUAUACUCUUCGAGCGAUCGCCCAUUUUCCAAAUAAUAAUAAGCAAACUCUUACCUUAGCUUAUGUCAAACAACUCAGCCUCAAUAAUUUAAUAACCCAAUAUUACCACACAAGAUCUCCACAACCCACGUAAAGUAAUAGAGACUGCCACCAAUUCACAGACCCUCAAAUUAACAAAUUUAUAAUCUGAAAAUGGUCAGUAAACUUCCCAGCCAUCAAAGCCGAAGCAACACAUGCCAUAGAAACUCCAGAAGAUCAAUGUAAAGGGACAAAAAAGAAUUUCUCCUUUCAGUUGCAAAAAAAACACCUCAGAGUCCUUUCCUGCAUGAGGGCACUAGUGCCUGUGCUUUGCGCUCCAUUAUAUGUUGUCUGUCCUCAUGCGAAUCAAGCAAGUCAACAACCAAAAUUUGCCCAGCAAGCUGUGUGAGACGUGAUGGCACUGUGCGAACAAAAUCUGUGACCCAACUGUGUGGGUCACGUGAUGGAGCCAUGAGAUGGUGCCGCACCAGCUGCGCGAGGGUAACGCACCAACUGUGCAAGCCAUGAGAUGGAGCUGCGCAAGCCGCACAGGUCGCACGAGUCGCGUGAGGCAUGCGAGCCGCGCAAACUGCGAGAGGGAGCCGCACGAAAGGUCAAGAAAGAAUUGUGCAAAAAAGAGAGAAAGAAGGAGACACUCGACGGUGACAAGCCACAACUGUGACGGCCGACUAUUCCGGCGAGUGGCUACUUUGUCGACUAGAGUUAAUCCCAAGGCUCUGAUACCAUGUGAGGAAAAUGUACAUGGUAUUAUUUAAUAAAGUUUAAUAUAUAUACAUCAAAUAAACCCUAUGAGAUUGGAUGAAGAACCAAACAGCUAAUCAAUAACUUCCAAGCAUUUGGAGAGAAAACAGUAAAAAAUUAAUCCUUCAAUAUCACAAAGGGAAAAAGUGAAAUGGAAAGGGUCCAUUUUGUAAUUUUGGCUUGCAUGUGCAAUCCACAUUGCUCGGUUUGUUUCUCUGAUGCUCACUAGGUAAAUUUUGAAGGCUUCUGUUUAGCUAUAGCUCUAGUUUGAAUCUUUAUGGAGAAAGCAAAGAAGUGAGGGAGACCAAAGGAAAAAUUACAGUAGUUGAAGGCCUGAAAAUGAUUGGCAAUUUACCAAAUUAGAGUUAUUGCUGCUCUAGUAGCGGAGAAGAAAACAGCAAAGAUACUUUGAAUGUACUCGCAAUUAGAGAAACAAAUAAGUAGUUUUACUCUUCUCCUUUAUCUAGUGACAUUAUUGCGAGAGAUCAAAUUUUAUGGUGAUAAUUCCCAAGAAUUUCCUUGUUAUAGACGCCGGUUGCAAAUGGUACAUUCUAAAUAUCUUGGUGACUUGUAACCAUUGCUCAUGUAGCUGGUACUUUUGUUUUUGUCCACUAAGAUCUGGUUACUCAAUUUUACCAUCCCUGUUACAGGUUUAUGGAAUGCUGAUGGCUAGAUCUACGUAUGAGGGCAUUAAAUCAUCUAACGAAAACAAACGUCCAUUUGUCCUUACUAGAGCUGGAUUCGUCGGUAGCCAGAGGUAUGCAGCUACUUGGACUGGUGAUAACCUUUCAAACUGGGAGCACCUGCACAUGAGCAUCUCAAUGGUACUUCAGCUGGUAAGUGAAUUAUGGAGGCUAUGCUGCUUGUUUUUGCUUGAAGAAAUUCCGUUUACUUUUGGUUUUCGCUGAACUUAUUGCAUUUUCCUGUCCAACUUUCAUCUUUUAUAACUUAUGAUGGAUUACUUCAAGGGAAUGACAGUAGCAAAUUUAGGUCUUUCCUUCCAAGCUUGUGUACUCAAGGUGGAGCUCAAGUGUCUGUAAAUAUCAGGGUAAUUAUGAUAUUAUAACUGCAGUGUGCAGCAUGGACAUAGAAAUUUGGUUUUCAUCAUCAAUCACGUGGUAAUCAUUGUGCAUAUCAUCAAAGAGAAUGAGUAAGCGGUAACCUUAAUUUCUAUUUCCCUACAUAGGUGAUGAUCCAAUAUUGGUUAGGUAUAGUUGUUGUAUGCCAUGCUGACACUUUGAUUUAAAUAAGUAAGCUUGCGGUUGACAAGGCAUGCCAAAGCAGUAACUCUAAAUAAUUGAGUUCUAUUGUUUGUGGGACUUUCUUUGCAGACUUAAUUCUCUAAUGUAUUUUAAGUGAUUUAGACCCUUUGAAGCACCGGAUCCUGGUUUCGUUUGCCCUUUCUUUGGUAUGACUUUAAUUGUGAUAUUCAUCAUAUUUUGAUUCCAAAUUGACGGUUUACUAUGAGCUUAUCCAUGGGUUUAUGCACUCUUUGAAUAGGAAUCCAUUUUUUGAAAGAUCCUAGCUUUCAUCCUCUGGUGGGUCUUGGACAACCCAAAGUUCCUAGCUUUUAUGUACAGAUUUUGGACUCCCGUCUACAAAUUUGAUGCGGUGUUUUUGAGAAUAAUUCACAUAAUUCACAAAUGUACAGAUCAUCCAUCCUGACUAAUUUUAAUUUUGUUCAGGGUCUCAGUGGUCAACCACUUUCAGGACCUGAUAUCGGUGGAUUCGUAGGAAAUGCGACACCCAAGCUUUUUGGAAGGUGGAUGGGUAUAGGUGCAAUGUUUCCAUUCUGUCGUGGACAUUCUGAAAUGGACACCAAUGACCAUGAGCCUUGGUCAUUUGGUGAGGAGGUAUGUGCUGCUUUCCUUGGUGACGUGCUCAUGUCAUGUGCAUGAACUUUGUCCUGAUGAUUUUUAUUUCACUCAUUCGAAUUAAAUUCUCUCAAUAAAGCACUUCUGUCCGCUGACCUUGCUCCCAGUGUUUUGAAAGAAAAGGUUUCCCUCUUCUGUUAGUGAUAGACCCGUCAUCAGAAAGACUCCAAAUUUCUUAAAUGGCUAGGAAAGAUGUGAAAUAAAUCAUGUCUCUCAGUCCGUAGGGAACCUCUGGACCUUCCUUUCUUGUAAAAUAUAUGAAAUCAUGACCAAUUUAGCAAGCUGACUCUUUAGUAUCAGAUUCUCUACCUUCAGAUUGCUGGAAUGUAUAGAUUCCUCUAAUUGUCGUUGGUGCUUAUUUUGUAAAUUCAUUGGUUCCCUUGGAAGAUUUUACAGAAAUGAUCUUUUACUUUCUUUUUUGUCUCUCUUGCACUAGUGUGAGGAAGUCUGUCGCCUGGCACUGAAGCGGCGCUACCGCUUUCUUCCCCACAUAUAUACUCUUUUCUACAUGGCUCAUAAAACGGGCACUCUUGUGGCAAGUCCGACCUUUUUUGCUGGUGGGUUAGCAUGGUGUUGGAUAGCAUUCUUGCCUUCGUACCACAUGUAUUACUGUUCUUAUUUGCGUAGAGGAUAUCUAAGCUUAACAAGUUCUUGUGCAGAUCCCAAAGAUCCCAGGUUAAGGACACUGGAAAAUUCAUUUUUAUUAGGGCCACUCUUGGUUUGUGCAAGGUUAUCCUCUCUUCAUUAUAAAAUUAAAAAUUUGACCUUGCACAUGUCAUGAGGAUACAUGCAACGUGAGCUCCUCGCUGCUUCUCCAUAUUGUAUUGCAGUUACUAGUGUCUUUCCCUUUUUUUUUUUUGUCUUUGCUGAUCUAGUUAGUAUCUUCCUCAGAGUUUCAGAAAGAGAAUAUAUUUUUUCAACUUUUGAGAUUACAACUUAAAUAUACUGUAGUCUAAUCAUGUCAUUAGGUGUAAUUGCUGUCCACGCCUUAUGUAGCGUGAUCACAUGACGUAUGCAUGUUUCUGCACUUAUGCGAUAUGGUAUUCUAUCAAUGUUCUCACUACUAGCGGACCUGGAGGGGCUGGUGGUGGCCCUCAUCCCCUUAGGCUCAGUAGCCAUCGCCGCUUACAAAUUACAUAGAUUUCCUACAUAUCUAUGUUAUUAAUGUUUGAGUGUACGUGUCCCACUGUGAGAGGAAAAUCCCUAUUAAUGAGAGAUUGAUUGAGUUAACGUAUCAGUACCUUCAAUGUUAUGUCUUACUUUUAAAGGUCUUCUGCAUUUUGUAGCAUUGUCAUCAUAAAGAUGUGCCAUCUGGUAAGUUAAUGGGAAUAGUGAGCAAAAGAUGUGAUGGUUAUUAAAUCUUGAUACUGUCCUUGUUAGUCCUCAAAAUAACAGAUGAUUCUUUGGGUUCUUUUGCCUAAGUUUCUUGGCCUUAUUGAUGGUUCUGCAAGGGUUUAAUAAAUUGCGUUUAAAAAGGCUUUAAGCCGAACAUAAAUCCAUAUGCAUCUGCUAAUGUCAUUUAAUCUUGAUCAGCUCUAUGCCACAUCAGGAAUCAAAUGACUUGCAGCAUGUGUUGCCCAAGGGUAUUUGGCUGACCUUUGAUUUCGAUGAUGCACACCCGGUACCACAAGUUCUUAGUUUCUCUGUAAUGCUCUUCAUGAUAAUGGUUUGCCGGCAGUUAACGUUAUUUUGCUUUAACUUGAUAGGAUCUGCCCUUAUUAUUUCUACAAGGUGGUUCAAUCAUUCCUUUGGGUCCUCCCCACCAACAUGUUGGUGAAGCUAAUCUUUCAGAUGACUUGACACUCCUUGUGGCUUUGAAUGAGCACGGUAUAUCUCUUCCACUUGAAUUUUCUUGUUUGACUUGAAUUUUUCUUGGGUAGUGUUGUAUUGAUGGUUACAGGUCAUGAACAUAUAUAACUUGUGAAAAUUCAUCUUUGGAACGCGUCAAGUUGCUGAUUAGAAGUCUAAUUAUCAUUGUCCAUCGCUUUCAAUUGAAAAAUUUACUGUUUCCUCUAUGGAUUCUUAUAAUUAUCAUUAUGUUGUUUGUUGACGGAACCGCUAAUGCCAGAUGUCUAUUUAAUAGAUAAUUUCUGGUUGCUCAAGCUUAGAACAACUUAAGCAUGUCAUUAACUCAAUCUUGUUAAAUGUACUUGCUAAAUUGUGUCCGAUUGUUUUCUUUCCGUCUUUCCAAUAAGUAAGCUUGUCUAAUUCUGUAUUUUCCUAUCUCGUGAGUCUAUGGCAUGCUUCUUUGUCACACACUACUGUUGACCAGCAUCGAAAUUUUUUCCACAAAAGUUCUUAAUCAAUACUGUAAGUUGACAGCAAAGUGAGGCAAUCGGUUUACAUUUUUGAUGCUAUUAGGCUUAAGUCAAAAAGCACUUGCAAGAGGAUCUUUUUGUUAAGAAAAAUUGGAAGGUUGAAUAUAUGAUAAAUAGCAUGUGACUACCGAGUGUUUCAUCCAUAUCUUUCUUUUUUCCUGCUGUAAAGAAGACUGGUUGAAUUUUAUCCAUAUAUUGAUAUGUAUCUUCUCUGCCAAACAGGGACCGCGAAGGGCAUUCUUUAUGAAGAUGAUGGUGAUGGAUAUAAGUAUUUGGAGGGAGAAUAUCUGCUAACUCACUAUAUUGCAGAACGUGAAUCGUCGCUGGUUACCAUAAGAGUGUACACAGAAGAAGGUUCAUGGAAGAGGCCAAAAUGUCGUCUGCAUGUAAUGUUGUUACUUGGUGGAGGGGCAAUGGUAAAUUCCAUUUCAUAAGGAAGGGCGCUUGUUUUAUCUGAUUUAAGAAUUUGUUAUUAAGCACCACUGGAGUUGUUAUUUGGAAAUUGUGAGCAAAUAUGAUCAUACACAGGUUGAUGCGUGGGGCAUGGAUGGCGACACUAUCCAAAUUACAUUGCCUUCAGAGGACGAAGUGUCUAAGAUGGUAGCUGCAAGUGAGAAGAAAUAUAAUGCACGCUUAGGUAAUGCUAGUUUGCAAGUUGGAAACCCUAUGAUGUGUCUACGUCUCUGAGGAUGAAUUCGUUACUUUUUUUGGCAAAAUGGAAUCGUGUUCUGCUGUGAACGUGGCUGGAUCUCUCUCAUUAUCAAGUUCUUAUCAAACCAAUUUCAUAAGUUUAUGUCCAUAUCUAUAUUUGUUUUUUGUCUUGAUACUACCUAUUCCUUUUGCGAUAAUUAGAGCCGAAGAUUAAUAUUCAUUAGGCCACGUCUUCUUUUCAUAGUUUUUUAUCCUGGAAAAAAUGCUGGUGAGAUAUCCCUAGCUGCAGCAAUUUGUGGGUUAAUUGGCUUUUUUGAUGGAAAACGGAUACAAAUUCCCAUUUUCAUUGUUAUAGUAAAUAUGCUAUCCAUGAGAAUUGAUUCAUUCUGUGAACAUGUUAACAACAUGGAACUUUAAUGUUUGUUUAUCAGAUUUAUAGUCAUAAAUGCAAAUUUAAAUCAAGAACCAUGGUUUGGUAGAGAUACUUUGUGCUCAUUCAUAUCCACACAGAGGAAAGUUGCCUCCUUAAUGACUGCUUACACUUGUUUCAACUCUUAUUGAUUGCCAUGCAUCAACUUUAAAAAGUUUACAUGGAUGAUAUUUCCAGGACAUCUUUUAGAAACUUUUUGCUGUGGGAAGGAGAGAGUUGGUAAAUCCAUGAACAUUACUGCACAUCCUGUAGCAGCUUUUCCAACUUUUUGCUGAUAUUCGAGGAAGGUGGCUCCUCCUUGACUGGGGAUGUCAUUCUUCCUCUUGGAUUAUUAUGGGCUCCGAAGAAAAAUGUUUGAAAAUCACUGCAUUUUUUGAUAUCAUAUCACGACUUUGCCUAUGUCUUCUGCAUCUUCUCCAUGUACCCGUAUUGAUGCAAGUGAUUCUUGCAUGCAGAGAGCUGUAAGCGCAUUCCAGACGUUGAAGAGAUCUCAAGCCAUAAGGGUGUAGAACUUGCGAGGACCCCUAUUGAGCUAAAAAGUGGGGAAUGGAUAGCCAAAGUUGUUCCUUGGAUUGGGGGAAGGAUCAUAUCAAUGGAGCAUGUCCCUUCAGGUGAUUUGACUGGGUUCUUAACCAUCCUGAUACUACUACAACUAUUUAAACGUUUUUGAAUUCCAACUUUUGAAAGUGAAAGCUUGCUGAUAUAUUAAAGAGUUCGUGCAGCGAUAGUGCUGAUUUUCCUUAUCAGUAAGUUUAAACUAAAUGUCGAUUCUCUUCAGCAAAAACCAGUUCUGCAAAAGUUGAAUUGUUUGGACAUGCGUGAUGCUUUUUGGUAGCUACAUAGCUGACAAUCAGAUAUGUGAGAGGUUCAGUUCAAUUCCGCAGAGAUUCCUUUUGCACUUGAUCACAAGUAUCGUUUUUUUUUUCUUUGCUCAAGAAGUAAAUUAAUGUGCUUGAAUAGAUUUUGGGUUAGUAUUGUCUACAAAGCUUUGCUUACUUUGGUCCCUCCUUUUUUAUCGGGAUAUGUGUGAUGCUUCUUCUCUGCAUAUGUGACAAUUUAGCGCAUAAGAAGUUCAAUUCAAAUAGAAAUAGAAUUAUUUAACUAUGGAGUGGUAGGUGUUUCUUUUUCCUUUGAUUGGUAGUAAAUUGAGUUAUUGGAGAGACUUAUUGGCAUUGCCCACAACAUUUGUAUAACUCCUAUCACAUCUAUAUCAACAUGGAUACAUCUUGUCUUGCUCAAUCUAAGAAGGGAUGAACAUGACAACUUAUUGUUAACUUACACUGGCCAUGAAGCAGCUUGUCAUAGACCAGAUAUUUCUUGAUGUUAUAGGCAAUUCCGGAUUGUGUCAUGGCCAUAAUGAUAAUUAUGCCAUCACUGGUAAGACAGCCACUUCAAUUGGUAUUUUCUCAUGAAAAGCAAACAUGAAGUAAUCUAGCAUCAUUAUAGUAUGCAAAAGCUGAGACUUUGUUAAUCAUUGAGUUUUUUCCUAUUUCAUACUUGUAUGAUCUACACAACUGUGACCUGUAUGCUGUCGCUGCCACGACAAUUAUGACCAUUACAAUUGAUCCUCUAUUUCGCUCUACGCUGAGGAAGGUUGAGGUUGAUUUGAUGAUUAAUAAAGCAUGAAGGCAAAUGCUAUAAGAUAUGUGAAAACAUAUAUAAGUUAUCAGAAUUUAAGAUAGAACCUCAAAUUUUAUUUGGCUGUAUGGCAGGUACACAAUGGCUUCAUAGCAGAAUUGAAAUCAAUGGAUAUGAAGAAUAUAGUGGAAGAGAGUAUAGGUCUGCUGGAUGUACUGAGGACUAUACUGUCAUCGAGUAAGUUUCUCAACUUCAGUCUCAGUUUUGGUGAUUGCCUCUCUGCAGCAUGAAGAAAAUGAGCCAAAUAGUUGUUUAAGAUAUUUCAUGUAUUAGGAGGAAGAAACAAGAGUUUGGAUUAUAGCAGUAUCGAUUAUUAGGAACAAAUAGUUUGCUUGAGUUAAUGAAAGAUUUAAUUUCGUCUUUGUUUGGACUUAUUAUUCUGGGUCUGAGUAUGUUAUUGGACCAUUAGUUGCGAAGCAUGAGCCAAACAUGGCAGUUGCAAGGGUAUUAUUGCUGAAUCUCGCAAAUACUGAAGAAUUUUGUUAGUCAAAUCUAUCAACGCAUGUUCAUCAAGUUUUCCUGAGGAGGUCCUGAGUUUAAAUCUUUUCGGGCCUUAUUUGCCCUCUUUAUCAUAUAUUUCACAAAGUCCAGUCUAUGCAUGAGGGAAAGUAUUUAAAUAUUAGUCUACAUCUUCAAGUAACUCAUUAAAUUUUAGAAAGGGACCCAAGGUUUAUCUUUCUUCUUUCCAUCAAUCGCUGCUUGUCAUCAAGGGGAAUCUCUGUUCAUUCAGAUCAAGUAAACUUGUUGUUUUUGUUGGCUUUUUCGUUGCCAUCAAGGAGUUGCUGCAACUUUGUUCCUCUGAGUCGCUGUCUAUUGACCACCCGUCUCAAUCUGUCGCCAUUGAUCUUGUCUUUUCCAGUGAGCUGAAGUCUACCAUCGCAAACUUUUCUCAAGCCACUGUCACGAGUCUGCAUUGCUCCCCAUCACUUCACAAGCUGUUCUUUGUCACUCUUCCUUGUCUUCAUGGCUAGUGGAAACUCGCAAUCAAGUCCCUUUUUUCUCUAAUAUAGGGUUCCGUCAAGUCCUUCAUUCCUGUAGCUGUCUUCGUCUCCUUUGUUGUCCUCUGUCAUUUCUGGUUUGUGUAUCAGUCAAACUUUACGCAUUUGCUCCGGUUCAUGUGCUUUUGUUUCUUUAACAGAGCUCUCUCACUUAUAAAAAGAGAUGAGUCAAGAAAAAGGCUUUAUCCAGUAGCAACUCAUCUUUAAUAACUUCCCCAAUUGUCGUCCUUUAAAAUUUUAAGAAGCCUACUGUAGAUGUUGUUUAUUGUGAGACUCAUCUUCAAUUGAUAGCGUCAUCGACGGGUGAGGUUGUUGUCAAGUUUCCAAGCAAAAGCUGUGAGCACCGGAUACCAGCAUACCUUCAUUGGGCUGCCAAAGUCAAGCGUUGUGGGGUGAUGGAGUUUAGUUUGCUGCAAUUCAAGUCGAGUUUUCACACUAUUAACCUUUGUUAUAUGAGAAAGAGAGGUUUCAAUUUUUUGAUCUUAAUUUGUUUCUUCAGCGCUUUCAUCAAAAGUGGUGUUAACGUGGACUAUAUUCAGUUUGUCCUGUAAGGUCUGGACAUAAUUGUCAUUACCUCAAAUCCAGUUCGAUAUAAUCAACAUCCAUUUUCUAGUCAAGGUCCAGUUUACGC
rnacentral:lncRNA from 1 species